rnacentral:lncRNA from 1 species
AACAUUGUAAGGACUAGACAAUGACUUUCUAGGCCUAACUUAAGGGCUUAACAAUCUCAUAUGGCUAAAAAAUCAGAUCCUAAAUGGAGAGGGUCUCCCAUUUUCCUCGAAAUUUUUUAGCUUUUUGCAUAAAAAGUUAUAUCCUUUACACUAUGUUUAGCCAAAAUCUGCUGCAUAAUUUUUUAAAAUGUCGUUAUGCUGGUUGCCUUUAUGCUCCUCCAUGACUUAACUUUUGGGGUUUAGUUUUCAAUCACCAUUAAUGCCCACAAAACAACAUUCUUACACUAUAAAACUUCUAGUUGUUUCUAGUUAUUUCAAGAUCGUCUAAUCCCCCCCCUCCUUUUUUUAGGGAUUUUAAUAGGGUUUUUGUUCGGAAUUGAAAUUAACCAAUAUUUAACAAAAACAUUUCACACUAGCUGUGAAUUUUGACAUCUCAAUUUUUUAAGAAUAAUGUUUAAGAAUAAGGUUUCAUUAUACCUCCUCUGCAAAAGGAGGGGAGAGGGUUUGAACACAAAAAAUAGAGGUGAGAAAAUUUUGUUUGUUUGGUUCACUGGAAAAUCAAUUUGUAGGGAGAGAAAAAGAGUUGUGGGUGAUAUUAUAUAUAGAAGUAUUUUAGUCAAAGUGUAAUUUUUCAAAUGUAUUAGAAUGCGUUGUUUAAUUUACGUGCUUCUUCUUUCUCGUCUCUGCAAUUCUCUUUUCUUCCUUCUUUUCCUCAUUUCUUGCUAGAGCGACCUUUGUUAAUUUUCAUUUUAUUCCUGAAUUUUCAACUCUUUGGAAUCUAUCCUUGAAUUUUAGCUCAUUUUGGAGAUUCUUUACAUUUUGAUCCUCUUUUCCUCCAUUCUUUUUCUUCUUCUUCAAAUCUUUUACACCCCCCUCCAAAAUCCAGCUACACAACAUUUAACCGGCCCUAUACAACCUCGUUUCAUUUCUUGUCAAGCUUCAUUCUAUUUAGUAAAAAAUUCCAUCUACUCUUGUUGUAACAUCCAUUUAUGUUUAUAGUCAAUUUACUUGAAAUUUUUUAUUGAAUUUAUAGUUUGCAUGUAUAUUUAAAUAUUGUUUUAUAAUAAUAAUUUUAUUGUAUUAAUGCAUGAUUUAUAUUUUUAGGGUUUUUUUGAGAUUCGGAGGAAAUUGAUUUAAUUUGUUAUUUGAUAAAUUUUAGUAUAAUUUUAUAAUUUAAGUGUAUUAAAAUUAAAAAAAUAAUAAGUGAUUUAAUAGGUAUCAAUAAAUUUGUUGUGAUUGAAAAUUUGGGUUUUUUGGAUUUCUUUGGCUAUGUGAGGAUUCUUUGUAUAGCAAUUUAAAAUAAUUCAGAUGAUAAAUGUUAAUUUUUUUUUAAUAAUUAUUAGGCAAAUUGGUGCAAAGCUUCUUUUAGAUUAUUUCUAAUGAGUUUUAUGUUUGGUAAACACAAUAAGCGAUUCACUUCCUUUUACUUUGGCCAAUCUAGCGGGACCAAUUAACUUAACAAGGAAGCUUAAUUUCUCCCACAUGAUGAAGGUAUCAAUCACUUUGUGUCUUCUUUUUUAUUAUUGUUUUUUUUUUAAUAUAUAGGAACCAACUGAUUGAUAUGUGAAUUUUUUUUUGGUUUAAUUAGUUUCAAUAUUAAGUUUGAUUUGUAUUUGAAAUUCCUCAUCUUUUUUGCGUCUCUAUAUGUCAAUAGCAUUGUUGAAGCAUGUAAUUAUUCUUGAAAUCUUGAAUAGGUUAUUAAUUUUGGGAAUGAAUGAAAUUAAUAUGUAACCUUAUUUGUAGCAUAUUAGUGUUAAAUUUGUGUAUUCCAAUAUAAUUGGUUGUUGUUAGGAUUUUGAUAACGUGAUUAUUGUGGUUGGGGAUUAUAAGUUGAAUUUUUUUUUUUUUUGUAAUCAUACUAAAUGAUGAUGGAAUUGUUGACAGAAAAUUCUGUUUAUUUUUUAAUUUUCUGAUAGUGUAAACAAGAUUAAUAAAAGAUAUGGUGACUGGAGUUUGGAGAAAUAUUCCUAGGCAAGGAGGGUUGUGGUGCAUGUAACGGUUGCUUAGAAUGAGUGUAGGAUGAUAUUAACUAAGAUAGGGUCUUGUGUUUAAUUACUAGGUUGCUGGUGAGAUCCAAAUGCCAGCAAAACCAAUUUAUGUACUCUGUGGAAGGAAAAUAUUUGGUCAGGUAUCUGUGGGAAACAUCUUACAUGAUGAAAAAUGCGAGCUGUGCUAGUUCGUUUUCCCUAAACCAGUGAGGAAAGUCACUUAUUGAUCUCACAAUUUGUUAAAACCAAUGACCAGAGUGCCACAAGAAUUUCUUCAUGCCUUUUUUUUUUUCUCAAAUUUAUUCUUAAUUAAUAAUAUCCUGUUUACACUAUCAACAGUAUUUCUACGCUAAAAACAUGAAUCUUGUAGCUGAAAGUCAAACGAUGCUAAGGAAUCUAUAAAUGUUUCUGAGAGAUGGAGUCUUUCUGACCACACGAGAAGGGGAAUAGCUUCUAAGUUGAAAGUAUGAACAAAGAUGCAACAUGGAGGCUGAUCUCUCUAAGGACUGCACAAGGGCAAUUGUUUGAUCUGUCUGUGAUAUCUUUUUCCUGUAUGUCAUAAUAUAGCCUGGUGAACUCCAAGCAGUUUUAGGAAAUUUCACAGGAUAAGCCAUCACCACUAUCAAUUGUAGGGUCUACAACAGUCUCUCCAAGUAUACUGGGGAGACUACAUGCUCAAGUAGCUGACGAAAUUAGGCUUUAUUUCUUCUUUUAUUGUUUGUGGUGGGGAAUUGUAACUUGGGCAAACUCCUAAGCCUCAACCUUAAAUUUUUUCUUUUUUUUUUUUGAAAGAUGCGUAUAUUACUUAAACGUCGAAGUUUGGCGGUAAUAGUAUAAAAGUUACACAAUAUCUUACUAUGACAAAAUGACUAGAAUAAAACGCAGUGUAAGAUAAACAAAAACAGAGAAGACCAGAAUGACCUCAAGCUAGACAUUCCUAUACAAAACAAACCUUAAAUUUUUUCCUUGCUGAUCAUGAUCAUAUUGGCUGAUUAAAUUGCAUGUUACCUAUGUGUUGAGUUGUUAGUUUCUUGAGGGUUUUUGGUUCUUGUUGAUUCCAGCAUUAUUUUCCUGCUUGCUAUGUAUCACAUACUAUAUAUUAUCUAUCAUCAGACUGAGCAAGCUGAAUUAAGCUCUAGAGUUGAAUCACCUGGUGAAUUCCUUAAAGAACCUGAGUAUGAGGUAGUGGGUGCAUGAGUACUUGAGGGUUUCCAUGUGUUUAUAAUACCAAGAUUUCAAAUUCCAAGUUGGGAUUAGUCCUAAAUUGAGUGAUUGCAGGAUUGUGAUGCACUGGAUUAGCAUAUAAUUCUCAGGACUUGCGAAUUCUAGUUGCAAUUUAACUGAUAAUUAACGAGUUGAGAUUUCUAGGUUUCCUGUUGGUUUUGAUUUACAACUUUUUCUUUCUUUCUUUGUUCUUUUUUCUUUUUCUGUGGAGUUGUCAAAAACCAGAUGGCUGAAAUUACAACACUCUUACAGGUAGAUGAUGAAGAAUAUUGACCCUCAUGCCUGCUUGUAACGACAAGCUCGCCUGAUGCCUACUUUCUGGUUUUAGUUUUCUUGUGAAUUACAGAGAACUAUGUCUAGGGUUUCGUUACCUCUACCAAAAAGCAUCAAUCAAAAUAAAUAAAUAAAUAAAAAGGUAUCUAUAAACUCCGAAAUCAUAUUGAAAUAAUAGAAAGAAGCAGCAGAAAAUUUUCAAGUGCAUGCUUUUAUGUUCUAUAAUGCAAGAGAAAGCAAGCAGAUAUUGACGACUUACAUGAAACUUGGGCAGCAGAUACACAAGGGCGGAGUCGAGUUUUCACCAGGGCCCUGCAUACAUCGACUUCGAAAGCCUUCAAAGAUCUUGCAUGGUAAGAGAGGGGAGAUGCUGAAACAACUGCACACGAUUUUUACUAGAUCUUUGGAGAAAGAAAUCUGCAGAAAUAUGACUUACCUGACGUUUUUUCAGUGCCUGAGCUUGUUUUUAUGUAUAAACUUGUAUGACAAUGUGUGGAAACAGUUCAUCCACUUCUUUUCUGACUGAUGGGGACACAAAAAAACGUGCCAUGGCGGGAAAAUACAGGGAUGAUUCCCAUAUCCCAACUGUUUCUUCUUCCAGGAGGUUGUACCGUUAUCUGUACUGUUUUUGGGAAGUACUGUGUUUUGAGAACAGGGCAUUUUGUGACUCCUUGAUUUCACUUCUUUUUUUUUCCUUUUUUUUUUCUCUCCCUCUAGAUGCACGAAUUGGGCUCUCCAAUUCAAGGUACAAAAGGGUUCUGAAUUUAAGUGGUACAUGAUUCCAAGCUUCAUCGUAUGGAUUGUAAUGAUUAGAAGUAAAAACUCUGACCAAAUGGAUCCAUGCAUACUCGUUGAUCCUGUUGAAUUCAUUGGUUGGCAGCUUUAGCUUUUGUUGAAAAUUUGGAAACCCUAAGAUAUUUUAUCAUUUGCCCUAGUAAUGGAUAGACUCAAAAUUAAUACCCUACCCCUCUUGCUUGUAGACUAGUACGAAAUUAAAAGCCUGAUGGUUAUGUGAACGCGAACCGGCAAGUACUAUCUAAAUAUGACAUGACAAGUAGCCAAUCCAGACACCGACCGGCACACAGCAAGAAAUUGCUUAGAAAAACGAGGGGCUUCCUUCUUCCGUUCUAGUUAUAAAUUGAUUACGUGAAUCUUGAUACACAACCUUGAAAUUGCUAAACAAACUGUGCCAAGCUAAAAACAAGGGGCAGUGUCAUAACUGAUUGAGAUUGUACAACAAUUUUGAUUUUACUGCUAGUCAGUGUCAACUGAUGGUGGACUUGCCGGGGGAGGAACUCGGACCAUUUUCAGUUGGUCAACCCGUCCAGUCACGUCAUGCUUUAAUAAUGGUCACUGGCUUUUAGCGAGGGCUCCAGCAGCGAAAAGCAGAUUCCUACGGGAAAACUGUCCAAAUAAUGGAGCACAGAGGUUAUAUACCGGAAAACCAAUAUCAAAAGGCAUAAAGAAGAAAGGAUAUCAAGUUUAAGGAGUUGAGCUUUUAGAGAAUUACCCUCAAAGUGUAAACUGGAGUAGACUUCGUCGGCAAAGUUUUUAACAAUCUCAAUCUGUUCGUAUUUCCACUUUUGCUGAUUAAAUGAAACAGGUACUGUAAAUGGCCCCGCAAAAAAAUAAAAAGGUUCAGAAUAAGAGACAUAACGGGCUCCUUUCACAGGGGAACUUACCUUUCCUCUGUCUUUGGGGCCUUUGUGCUUGUAGUUACAUCCCAUAAUUUUACAGUACAGUCAGCUGAACCAGAUGCUAGAAGAGAUCCUUCACAGCUGGCAUUCAAGAUUAGAGAAACAGGUUUUGUUAGAAAUCUAGCCAUCACUUACUAAAUAUUGACAGAGUCCAAAAGGUUGUUUUGAAAUUUCUUCUAGUGUCUCUAGGGUUUGCACCUGAAGGCAAGUGACCAUACGCAUGAAUUGUGGCCUAUCAAAGGUGAUAUGCAGCGGCCACUUGAGAGGUCCCACAUCAUGAUUGUCCCAUCUUCAUCAGCAGAUGCCAUAUAUCGACCAUCAGGUGACAUGGCCAAUGAUAAAAUCAUACUCCUAUGACCAAUAAAAAUGCGGACACACUCCCCGCUUUGUACAUCCCACAGUCUAACUGUUUUGUCACUGGAGCCAGUGGCUAUGUAGUUGCAGUUGGCAUGCCACUGCAAGCACUGAAAUAUAUGGAAUCCAAUUCAAUGUAGCUGAUAUUGCAGAAUUAGAAAACAAAGGAAAGUAUUUUACUAAAUUUGCUGACUUAAUAUUAUACAUAGAGCAGGCUCAACAUGAUAAAUUCAUCCGCAGUGGAUACAAAAAUUUAUGAGGGAGGUUAACUUGAAGAAUGAAUUUCACCCAUUUCUUCUAUUUAAAUAUCAUGAACUACUUUGUUGCAACCAAAUCCAGACUACCAGACCAAUAAAAUAGAUGUAAAAGCUACUUACAUCAACAUCAGACAAAUGACCUGCCAUUAUCCUCAAAGGCUGUAUCCUAUCCAUAGACCAAAUCCUUGCUGUGCGAUCAUGUGAAGCACUGGCAAAAUAUUGUCCCACAGGACUGAACUGCACCAAUAGUUUAGUAUGAACACAUGAGAAGUGAGGCAUGACCACUUAGUAUUAUGGAAAUCUCUGCCAUGGUCUCCUCAAUUUUGAUCACGUCAUCAAAAGACAAUGGAUGGAUAAAACAAUAAAAUCGAGUCAAAAUGAAGUGGGAAGUUCCAAUUUAUACCUGAACAUCCCAGACAGGGUAAUUAUGGCCCUUGUAGCAAACAAGAUUUGCAUUGAGUUUUGUGCUCCAUAAUCGAACUGCAGCAGAGCAGUGUGUCAUUUGCAAAAGAAAUAAAAUAAACAAAAAUAAAAAAACAAAAGAAAACUUUCAUGUUUGCAGAGAGAGAAAUAAGCAGUGAAAUGAUAAUCUAAGAGACUAUACCUGUCGUAUCUGCUGAAGACGACAAAAUAAAAUCCCCAAGAGGGCUAAAAGUGGCUGAAUGAACUGGACCUGAAUGACCCUGAAACAAUGUAUAAGAUCUUUUGCCACUGUUUGUACUCUGGCCUUGUUCACUCGGAGCAGCAUCAUUUUCACCCUGUAAAAUAGCUGACAGCAGAAACAUUUACCAUUAUAACUCCUCUUUGCCCAGUAUGUUUUAACAUGAAAACCAGCAUCUAAGCAUCGCCACAAUGACAACCAUAUCAGAAAGAUAUAGAAUUCUGGAUUAUGAUGGACUAACAUCUACAGUGUUUUUUCAUCAUGUCUCUGUAGCAGCUCUUUGGCUGGACUACAAUUGAGAAUUUUCCAAAUGGAUAAUGUACAAAAAACACACAGAACAAUUCAUCAAAACUCGGUAUUUACACCGUCUAAAAUACAUUUUGAAUUAGUAAAGUGUCAUAAGAGAUGAUUUGCAUAGUACUUUACUGCUGCUGGAAUCGAAGAACUAAGAAAUUAUCAAACAAACCAAUCCUUUGGAGAGACUUACAAUUGCCAGCUUGAUGUCCAAGCUUUGCCAUGUCCCAAACCUGUAAAGGCACAGAUCAGAAUUAGCAACAGCAGCGGCCAACAUGUUGGAUUUGGGUCAAGUAUGGGAGGCUACCUUCAGUGAGGAGUCUGAGAAUCCACCAGCAACCAAGGAUCCAUCAUGUGAAAUUGAUGAACAGUUUAAACUGGAAGAAAACUCAAAUAAAAAAAAUGAACAAUUGAUCAUGUAAAAAAAUUGAGAAGCUUGAUAAAAACACAUAAGUUCUGAAAUUACCCAUUAUGCGUGUUGAUAAAGGUAUAAAAGCUGACAGAUGGCAGUGUCACACUACUCAACUGUACACGGUUUCUCAAGUCCUCAAGAAUAGACUGUUCCACCUCAGCUGCCCUGAAGGAACUGUUAAUUUAUUAAUUAUCAGAAAUUAAGAAUGCAGCACUAACUUAUGUUAGAUUGUUUAUUCCUGUUGGACCUAAGCCACGCAAAAUCCUCAUAGCAGAGACAUCAUAAAAUAUAGUCAUGUGGGAAAAGAUGCAAGGCCAAGUUCACGUUGUAUACAUUAUGAGCCUAAUUUGGUUCCAGGGGUCAAUGAUAAAGCAUGGUAAUAUAAUAGAUUAAUCAAAUGAGGAAGAUGACAGGAUAAAGGAAAUAAGACUUUGAACAGUCAACAAGCGUGCCUGUAAAAACCUUAUUAAUCUAGUUGAUAGAGACGAGGGGUAUAGUUACUAUGAAUCCAUAGACCAGUUCCCCAUGGAACCCAGCUUCUGUUCAUAGUCACACUCACACCAUGCUGAGGACAUGUAAAGUAACAAUUUACCUUGGUUAGGUGUUAUUAAACAUUGCAUGCUCAUGUUUUUCAGCACCUAAUUAAAGCGAGUUUGUCACCUUGCAUGUCCUCAUAACAUGCCUAAAUGACAUGUCCAUUUUAUUCUAACACACCUGAAAGCACAUAUGAUGUGUUACAAGAUGUAAAAUAUCAUGUGUUCAAGUGUGUUGAAUAAGAAUUCCUACGUGUAUAAUAUACAAGGCUUCUCAAUAGUCUAUAAAAGGGAGCCAUAAAGAUUGUGACAGGAUCAAACUUCCUAUGUUCGAAUACGUUAUCUUUGCUUUAGCCUUGGCCUUUUAUGCAACACCCUCCUCUUUGUUAGCCUUGUAGAUAUCACCACCAUCCAUGUCCCAUUUAGAUAAUAUAUAUCACAACAAUGCCAUUGAUCUAAUGAAGAAAAUGACUUGGGAUUCGAGAAAAUACAUUACUGGCAAAGGAAGCUCAGGUUUGACUCGUGGUGCUGCAGAUACUGUAUUAGCUUCAGGACGAGCAAUUUUAGUUGUUGCACUAGCAGCUUUAUCCUUUUUUGACUUUUUGAUUGAAGCUCCUUGCUUUCCACUAUCUAUUGAUCUUUUCUGAAUAAGACAUUGAUGACAUCAAUGUAAAGAAUAACUCAAGCUUUAACAGAAAGGAAAACCUAUAGGACAAUCAAAGUAGAAAUAGCAUAUAUUACAAAAUUAAAUUAAAGAGAAGCAAGAAUUAUUAAGUAUAUGAAAUCCACAUUAAGGAAAUUAUGGAGGAGAAGCAGGAUUUGAUGAGUAUUAUACCUUAUUCUCAUCCAUGUCCACCUCUUUGGUUUCUCCUUCUGUCUUUUCAGAAUCUGAGAGAAUACCCCCUGUCUUCUCCAAUCGUUCUUCUAUAGAAUCUUCAAGCAACUAUAGCAAACAGAGAAAAGCUCAAAGUUAACACCUAAACAACAAAAGCAAUAAAAAUAACUAAUAACUUCCUCAUUUACUACCAAGAUGAAGAAUGCACUCACCCCCCAACGUAUUUCUUUUUUAUUUAUCUGAUUAGCUGCAUCCUGGCUGCUUCCAAUUAAUGUUACAGCAUCAGGAUCAUCAGAAAUUGAGAUGGGUUGUCCAGGAGAAACUGCCAACAUAAAAGAACUUGUAUUUUCUACAGAGUCCACCAAAUUCUUCAUGAACUGGACAUGCAGAUGCAACUAAUUUGGAAGUAAAAUGUACCUUGGAAGUUAAUAUGCUCAUUGACAAUCCCAAGAAUUAUAGUGCAUUUUGACUUCCGAAGAUACUGCAUCAGGAGCUCAUUCGAGUACUGAUAAUAGGGUUAAAACCAACUUUUGAGAAAUAUACUCCAACAGAAUUCUUAUAUGUUACAAAUUACAGAAGAAAACCCUUAAAUCACCUGACAUAUCUUAAUGUUGACUUUACUCUGCCUAAGAGUAUGAGCAAAUUCCAUUUCCUGACAGGAAAAAAUUAAAUAAAAAUAAUGAGAUCUUCUACAGAAGUAAUUUAACCAAAUUAAGAGUGGAAAAUGUAAUGCAAAAUCUUAGAGAGGUAUUAACCUCCAGAUGAGAGGGAGAAAGAACUCCUUCCAACUUUUGAAGGUCUCGUGAGUGCAUCAUCUCAUGAUCUUCACGGAAGCUAUUGAAAAAAUUUCUUGCUAGGGAUGUAAAAUGAUAAUAGCAAAAAUAUGAGACAACUGCCACACUAACGAGCCACUUAGGAAUUUACAGGUUUCAAUAAGGAUUAAAGAAGAGGAAAAAAUUCAAUAUUUACCCUCUUGGAUAUGUCCUUUAGCAACAAUAUCCAUAUAACAAUGGACAAAUACUGGAUAAAGCACACGAAGCAACUCAUGCUGCGGAGUUCAAAGGCAACCCACAUCAGCAAAGUACAAAAAUCACAUGCCAAAACAAAUAGGUACAUGUCGAACCAUGCACAAAGAAGAAAUUAAUCACUAGUUUACCUUGUACAGAUCAAGCGAACUAUAAGCCCACGACCUUAGUUUACUAUACUCAUCUUGGUAACGUGCUGGACUAUCCUCUGGUCUGAAUGACAAAAAUAAAAUUAUUUUGGAAAUGAAUAACCAGUCUCCAGACCGAAUGAAUAACCAAACUAUUAAAAAACUUGAAAGAAAAGGACAUUCUCAUUCCCUUGUAAAUAAAAUUCUCCAAAUUGAGCAUUUUCCAGGAGCCAUUUCUACUUUCAAAUUCUUAUUCAAAAUCUUCACUCUCAACCAAUCAAUUUUAGAAUCAUAAUGAGGGUUUCUCGCACACAUUGUUGUUUUAAGUGCCUCUUAUUUUUUUUCUUCCAAAGGAUUGUUGUCAUUGAAAUUCCAGUAAGUAAUCGAACAUAAAACUACUUCCAUGACUGAUUUCCACUCUCAAUGUGAAUUAAAAGUGCCUAUUUUUCACUAAUGUUAAGCCGUUUACUUCCCUCACUUCAGCUAAAACCCUAAAUACAUUUCUAAAAAACUCAAAUCUUUAAACAAAAAAUGUCCAAAUUAAACAGUAUAAAAGCAGAUAAAUUUUUCACUCUCUAUGCUUGCUUAAAUUCUUAGCAUAUUCGAAUCACAAAAAUACACUAAAAUUGUUCAUUUCACAUUGCCCAUGAAAGCCAUUUCCUUCUUCUCCAACAAUAAAAUCAGUGCACAACCAGCUAAAACCCUUGACUACUUACUUAUUCAAGAACCCAUUAUUUCUUUAGCAAUUUAGAACUCUGUGCUAAAAAAACAAGAAAAAAAACUACAAAAGCAUCAAGCUGAGUAAAAACUAAAAAGAAAGAAAAAGUAGGGUUCGUGAGUUACUGAGAGAGGGAGUGAAGGAGGGAAGAGAGAUCAGGAUCCGAGUGGAUACUGAUAGCAUUAUUGCUGUUGUUUUGUUGCUGCUGCUGCUGCUGGAUUUCUUCAUGGAAAGCGAGCUCUGCUUGCUUGAACCCUUUCUUCUUUAAAUAUGUCUCCACAAAUUUCACUACUGCUUCUUCGUCCAUAACUGCUCUUCCUCCUCUUCUUCUUCUUGAAGUAAAAGACCAAGGCAAAGUGCCCCUUCUUUACCUUCUUCAAAAUGAAGCACGCAUCUCUCUUCUUUCUCGCUUGCUUCCUGGUCGAAGCUUUUGCUGAUUUGGGAUGGUGAUAGGGCUUUGAUGUAUCAAUCUGGAGCCCAGCAAGAAUGGGUUUGUUUGAUAAUUGAGUCUUGCGAUUGUUGUUGGAACGUAUUUUUUAGAUUUGUUUUUUAUUUUCUUGAUUUACUGAAAUUUUAUGUUAAAAACAGUAAAUAAAAAAAAUAUUAUUUUUAAAAAUUAAUUUUUAAAAUAUCAUUCGUCACAAUUUUAAAUUCAAGUAUAAAAUCUAACUAUUAAGUUUGUAUAAUGGGUUUUUAAUAUAUAUAUUAAAAACAUCUAAAAAUAUUCUCUCGAUGAAAUAUAAUUUAAUUAUAAAAUUCAUAAAAUUAACUUAAUAGCUUUAUGAUUCAAACUUUGUAUAAGUUAGAUUUAUUUUUAAUCUAUAUACAAAGUUGAUGUGAUAAAAUUAAAAUGUUAAAAUGACUUAAUUAUUAUCUCAUCACUUCAAUUUAUCUUAUCAAACUCAUAUAAAAUUUAAUUAGAUUAAUUCAAAGAUUUUUUUUAAAUAUUCAAACAAUAUUAUUUUAUAAUAAAUCUGCAUAUCUACACUUAUAGGUUUACUUGGCAAUCCAGCUUUAACUUGAGUAAAGCAUUUUUAGUUAUGGUUUUUUAAAAAUAGGUUUUAAAAAUAUAUAUUUACUUAAAAUUGCUAUGAAAUGGAUUUUUACAUGCAAAAUAAGUAAAAAAACAAGUCUUUAUAAAUAAAAAAAAUAUUAUUUUAGCUUCUACAAAGCUGGACUUUAAAAAAUAAUUGUGUAGGGCUCAAUGCAAAAGGCACAAGUAAGUAAGUGAUAAGUAUGGAGGGUGUGCUUGAAAAGCAAUGACAACAGUAUGGUUUUGGGUGUUAUUAUUUGGCUAAUCAAACAACUUCUAAAUAUCUUCAUAUAUCUUGUUAUCUCAUGGUAGGAAAGAAAAACAUAUUGUCUUAAUAUUGUAAUGGCAUGUCAUCUAAACCAAAAAAAAAAAAAGAAGAAUGAAUCACAUGUUUCUUGAAAAUAAAAGAAAGAAAGAAAUCAUGAGUGUGGUUGAGUUAAUUGGUAUAAAAAUAGAAGGGAAAGUAGUAUUUAUUAUAGCGUUUGCUUCUUAUUUUGGAACAAAAAAGAAAAAAAUAAAGAAAAAAAACAAACUUAUUUGAUAUUCAUGUCUUUUUAAUCAAACAUGUUUCUAUCUUUUAUCUAUCUAUAUUUUUUUUUUAUCUUCAAGUAUUAACCAAACCCAAUUUAAGUGAUUGACUCUUUAACUCUAAUAUAGUUAGUGUGUGCUUGACAUUAUGGUAGUUUCUAUUGCUGUAUUUUGAAAAAAAUAUAUAUUUUUAGUUGCUACUAAUUGAAUUAAAAUAUAUGUUUGAUUAAAACUAUUUUUAUUGAAUAAAAAGUAGUUUAAAGAUGUUUAGUUAAAAUUACUAUUAAAAGUAUUGUUGAGAAUGAGAUGAAUAUAAAAAACAUGUAGUAAUUUCAUAACUUCAAAUUAUUCAAGAAGUAUGUGAUUAUUAAUACAUAAUAAAUAUAACAAAACACCAUUGAAGUCCUAGUUUAACAAUUAUAUAUACUACUAAUAAUAAAUGUAUUAGUUGCAAAGUUAUUCCAAGUAAGAAUAUAGGCAUUGUUAUUAUUUAUACAUGUCUUGAAAUAUAAACUAGUUGUAAUCUCAUCACGAACACUAUCCAUUCGACAUGGUUUAUGGUUUACAUUACUUUGUGAUAUUGGCAUGACAUUAGUUAAAAUCUCAUCAAGAAUAAAAUCUAAAUGGCAAUCAAAUUCUACAAAUACAUGAUUAUCUUGAGACUUUUUUCUAAAGUAAAUAUGUUGUGUUAUUGAUGUCACUAUAAUUUGAACUUGUGUUUUGCAAAAUUUUCUAUUUAUCUCUCCACACUUCAAAAGCACAUUCAUUCACACCGCAUAUUGAUGAGUGUACAUGAUUAAAUAUUUCUUUUUGACUUCUUGGUGUCCUCCAUGUCAAAAAUUUAGUAAGUGAUUUUUUUCAUCUUUAUAUAAACAUAAAAAUUCAUACUUAUUUAGAUAUUCAACAUCUACCAAAUAAUAUUUUAUUAUGAGAAUAAUUAAUGAAUUUGCAAGUUAUUACACAAAUUUUCUUCAAAUGGUUAUGUAAAAUAUAUUAAAGGGUUGUCAGCUACUACCAAAAAAAAAAAAAACACAUGUAAUGUGCAUAAACUUUUCAUUCUGUCCAAACAUAAAUGAAUUGCAUAUCAAAGCUACAUGCAACUAUUACGUUUUGAGUCAAUAAAUGAAAUUUAAUUUUUUAGAGAUAUAUAGGCAUACACAUGUGUGACAUGAAUUGCUCCUACACAAUUUUACAUCUAAUACAAGAAAACAUAUGUUUGUGAGUUAUUGAACAAAAAUAUCCCAAUAAUUUAUAUUUAGCAUUAAUAAUACAAAAAUAUAUUUGUAUUACCUUGAAAUAAGGCAUGUAUCUUGGAUUAAUCUCAAUUUCCCAUGCAAUGUUUCUAAAUCUAGAGUUUUCUAGUUUUACAAUAUCCAUAAAGAGCAAACACAUUUUUUCAAGCGCUUUCUUAAAAUAUUUACUAAUAGUUUUACAUAAAUAAUGAUAUUUUUCUUGAAGUUUUUUUUAUUUGAAACACCUAGUGUUAAUAUAUAAAGAAACAUGAUGAUAUUUUCUUGAAGAUUUUAACUCAUACUUUGAUUCAAAAUCAAUUCAUAAACUUUGCAAUAUUAUUGAAUUCAUUCAAAAUGUGUUGACACAUUAUUUCCAAUAUCUUUCUAAAAUUACAUUUUACUGUCUUAAAUCCAUAUGGUAUGAAAUAAUACAAGAUUCUUUAAGCUUACAAUUAAGAUCAUAUAUGAAGACAACUUUGGUUGUAUACAAUGCUAAUCUAUAAUAAUUAAGAUCUUGUUUCAAAACAAUUUAUCAUCCUUAAUAUUAUUAUCGUUGUUGUCAUCUAUAUUCUCAUCAUUAUCAACACCAUCACUAUAAUUAAUAUAUUAAACUACGCUAUUAAUCACCUCAUGAUAAUUUUUUUAAAAAAGAAUUAUCUUGAAAUAAAUGCAUUAAACUACUAUAACUAAAGUCUCAAUAUGAAACAUUAACAUCCAUUAAAGCAUUUUGCGUAACUUAAUUCAAACUAAAAAGUCAAGAGUCCAUCCUCUUAAUUUUAGAAUCUUAUUGAGGGUUUCUCGCACGCAUUCUUGUUUUAAGUGCCUCUUAUUUCUUCUUCUUCUUUUUUUUCAAAGGAUUGUUACAGUGUGAUUAAAAUUCCAGUAAUUGAACGUAAAACUACUUUCCAUGACUAAUUUCCACUCUCAAUGUACAAAAGCUCCAAUUUUUCGCUAAUGUUAAACUGUUUACUUCCCUCACCUAAUCUAAAACCCUAAAUAAAUUUCUAAGAACCUUAAAUCUUUAAACAAAAAAUGUCCAAAUUAAACAGCAUAAAAGCAGACAAAUUCUUCACUCUUUAUGCUUACUUAAAUUCUUAACACACUCUAAUCACAAAAAUUGUUCAUUUCACAUUGCCUAUUAAGAGUGUGUUUGGUAUUGCGGUAGCUAUUGUGGUUGUGGUUUAAAAAAAGUUGUUUUAUAAAAAGUACUUUUAGUUGAGUUUGGUUUGAAAAAAUAGGUGUUCGGUUAAAACUGUGGUUAAAAUUGAAGUUGAAGAAAAAAUAGUUUAAUGUGUUUGGUUAAAAAUGCUUUUAAAAUUGAGGUUAUAAAAUAAUUUUAAAAAUAUAUAUUAGUACUUAUGAUUUUUAAUUUAAAUAUUGUAGAUUUAACUAUUGCUAUUAUACCAUGAAAUAAAUCAUACUUUAUAUAAAAUAUUUUUUAUUAUUUCAUGAAACUAUUUAUAAUUUCAUUACGUACGAAAUACAUCAAACAAAAACUACAGUUUUUAUAAUAUUUUUAGCAUGUAAUAAAAUUAGAUAAAAUAUUAUCAGGAAUAAAUUUCACUCUAAACUAAUUUUUUUUUAAAUGUUAAAAAAAUAACACACUAAAAAAAAUAACACACUUAAAAAAAAAAAAAAAAAGAAGAAGAAAAGGCACGCAGGCAAGUGAACAGUGCAAGAGAAUUGUACUGUUCACUAUUUUUAAGUGAACAAUACAGUUCUCCUAUACUGUUCAUAUGAACAGUAUACACUAUAUACUGUUCAUGCUAAUUGCACUGUUCAUUGACACAGUGCAAUUAACAUGAACAGUACAAAAGCAUGAAAUGACUGCUUUUUGUUAGAAACGCAGAAUUUAAGUGGAGCCUAGCAAACAAUAAAGUGAUUUUUUUUUUAACCAAACGGUUUCACGCUGUGUUUUACCGCAAAGCCAAACGGGCUCUAAAGCCAUUUCUUUCUUCUACUACUGUAGAAUCAGUGCACAGCAAGCUAAAACCCUUGACGACUCACUUACUCAAGAACCCAUUAUUUCUUUACCAAUUUAGAACUCUGAGCUCCAAAAUAAUAAAAAAAACCCCACAAAAACAUCAUGCUGAGUAAAAACUGAUUUACUUAUAAUUUAAACUACCAAGCCUACCUGUUUGUUAUAAUGGGCAAAACACAUUAAGAUUAAAAAUAUUUCGGACAUGGUGUCCCCUGAUAAUUUUGUCAAAAACAAGAGAAGAAAAGGACAUUAAAUGGCUAAAAAUAUAUACUUGUAGAUUAAUUUGUAACAGAGCUCGAUGGUAUAUGCCAAUUAAUUAAAUUUGUUCCUUAGAAUCGCCGAAGCCUGUCUAAAGAUCUUCGUUCGUAUGUCUUGUUGUCUCAUGGUAGUAAAGAAAAAAGACGUUGUCUUCAACCUGCUUACUAUCAGUCAAUCACUGUACAAUCGUCAUCCCUCUAAACUCCAAAGAUGAACCAAUUGUCUCCAUUUUGUGUCCAGAACCUUGUUGCUGUGCUCAUUGUAAUGAUGCAAGGAAAAACACUGCCACUGAUUUCAACCUCCUCUUUCCUCCUCACUGCAGAUUCAACAAUCACUGCUCCUCGUAGCUUUGUUGGAAACGAGACGGAUUAUGAAGCCCUGCUAGCCUUCAAAGCAAAGAUACAAGACCCACAGUAAUACCUUAAUGGACGGCAACCAUUAAUGGAUGACAUUAUUAUCAUUAAUCCAUUGAUAAAUAUUAUCAUUAAUAGACGGCACUGUUCAAUAUUGACAAAUGCAACAACUCAUCCUUAAUGUUAAAGUUUAGCAGCUAUCAUUGUUGAAAAUGAGCUGGAGUUGGUCAAUCAUUCUUGACUAUAAAUAUACACCAAGAGAGCCAAGAAGACAAAGAGAGUUAGAGAGUGUAAGAGGAAGAGAAGAGAAGAUUUAGAGGGUCGUCAUCCCUCUAAAUUUCGAAGAUGAACCUAUUGUCUCCAUUUUGUGUCCAGAACCUUGUUGCUGUGCUCAUUGUACUGAUGCAAGGAAAAGCACUGCCACUGACUUCAACCUCCUCUUUCCUCCUCACUGCAGCUUCAACAAUCACUGCUCCUCGUAGCUUUGGUGGAAACGAGACGGAUUAUGAAGCCUUGCUAGCCUUCAAAGCAAAGAUACAAGACCCGCACAGUAAUACCUUGAGCUCGUGGAAUGAUUCUCUCGAUUUCUGCAACUGGCCAGGGAUCACAUGUGGCCGUCGACAUGGAAGGGUCAGAAUUAUCAAUCUAGUGGACCAAAAAUUGGCAGGCUCCUUGUCUCCUUACGUGGGAAAUAUUACCUUCCUUCAAGAAAUAAGACUCGCAAACAACACAAUUCAUGGUGAAAUUCCACCUGAAGUUGGGCGCCUGUUGAGAUUACGAGUUCUGAUGCUGACCAAUAAUUCCAUAGAAGGCAAAAUUCCAGCCAACUUGUCAGGCUGCUCGAGCCUUGCAGAGCUCUAUAUUGAUCGGAACAAGCUUGGAGGUGAAAUUCCUAUGGAGCUUGGUUUCUUGUCAAAGCUCACAAUACUCUCUUUUCGUCAGAAUAAUCUCCAGGGAAAGAUACCGCACUCCAUCGGUAAUCUUACCUCCCUUGAAAGUUUGUCUUUGAGAAGAAAUGUUUUGGAGGGAACUAUUCCUGAUUCUUUAGGCCGACUGAAGAGAUUAACUAGUCUUCUGCUCGGUGAAAAUAAACUUUCGGGUCUCAUCCCUCCAUCUCUAUAUAAUCUGUCGUUGAUUACUACUUUCUAUUUGGGUGGCAAUGGAUUUCGCGGAAGUCUUCUGUCGAAUUUAGGCCUAUCCUUUCCCCAUCUUCAAUGGCUUGCAUUAUGGCAGAACCAAUUUUCCGGACCGAUUCCAGGGUCGUUAUCCAAUGCUUCUGAGCUUGAAAUUAUUUCUUUUACAUGUAACAGUUUGACAGGAAAAAUACCUGAUAUUUUUGGAAAACUACAUCAUCUCUCUCGACUGAAUUUCGGAAGUAAUAACCUGGGAACCGGAGGAGAUGAUGAAAUGGCGUUUCUUGUUUCUCUGACUAACUGCAGCAUGUUGAAAGGUGUGAGCAUCAACAACAACAGAUUAGAAGGAUCGCUGCCGAUUACAGUAGGAAAUCUUUCAACAUAUAUGGCUUAUUUUGGGCUCUCAGGAAAUCACAUAGUCGGACGGAUCCCUUCAGGUAUAGGGAACUUAGUUGAAUUAACUUUCCUAUACAUGGAUCGAAAUCAAUUCACUGGUGAAAUUCCAACUUCUUUUGGUAAUCUACGAAAGCUAGAGCAGUUUUCACUCUUUUCCAAUAGACUGUCAGGAAAAAUUCCAUCUUCUUUAGGAAAUCUGCCAAUGUUGAGUGUCCUUUAUUUAGAUGAUAACAAAUUACAAGACACCAUCCCUGCUAGUCUUGGAGGUUGUAAGAACUUGGUGUCGCUGGGCCUUUCUAGGAACAACCUCAGUGGCAGCAUACCAGAACAACUUUUCGGUACCUCCUCUGUAUUAUUUUCACUAAAUCUAUCUCAUAACCAAUUUACUGGUUCCUUACCUUCAACCAUUGGUAGUCUAAAAGGUCUGAGUGAACUGGAUGUCUCUUGGAACAUGCUGUCUGGUGAAAUUCCAACUAGCCUUGGAGGAUGCACCAGCCUCGAGGUCCUGCACAUGGAGGAUAAUUUCUUCCAAGGAUCUAUUCCUUCAUCAUUUAGUUCUUUGAGGGGAAUUCAAUUUCUUGACCUUUCUUGUAACAAUCUGUCAGGCCAACUUCCAAACUCUCUUGUGACAAUCCCUUUCAUAAGUUUAAAUCUUUCCUAUAACAAUUUUGAGGGGGAGGUUCCGAGGAAGGGAGUUUUCACAAACGAGAGUGCAGUAUCAGUUGUUGGAAAUGACAAACUUUGUGGUGGAAUUUUGGUAUUGCAUUUGCCUGGAUGUCCCAACAAAGAGCCAAAGAAGACAAAAACGUCUCGUCUGCCAUAUUUAUUGGCAAUCACAAUACCUUGUGCUCUUGCUGGAGCCAUCACUGUCUCGUUCUUGUUUUGUUGGUUCAAAAAGAAAAGAAAGGAGCACUCUUCUGAUACUUUAUUGAAAGAGUCAUUUCCUCAAAUCUCUUACGAAAGGCUCUUUAAAGCAACCGAUGGAUUUUCUACACCCAACUUGAUUGGAGUUGGUAGUUUUAGCUCUGUGUACAAAGGAAAGAUUGAUGAAGAUGGAACACUGGUUGCAAUCAAAGUUCUUAACCUGCAACGCCGUGGAGCGUCUAAGAGUUUCAAAGAUGAAUGUGAAGCCUUGAGAAACAUUCGCCAUCGAAAUCUGGUGAAGAUCAUAACUUCUUGCUCAAGCAUUGAUUUUCAAGGUAAUAAUUUUAAAGCUCUAGUUUAUGAGUACAUGCCUAGAGGGAGUCUGGAGAAAUGGUUGCAUCCUACUCAAGAAACAGAGGAUGAUCAGCGGAUCAAUCAAGUUCAGCGUCCAAACCUUCUUGAGAGAAUCAACAUUGCCAUUGAUGUGGCUGCUGCACUUGACUAUCUUCAUCACCAUUGCCACAGCCCAAUCAUUCAUUGUGAUGUAAAACCAAGUAAUAUUCUUCUUGAUGAAGACAUGAUUGGCCAUCUUGGGGAUUUUGGGCUAGCUAGAAUUUUUCAAGAAUUUUCAGAACCAAGUCUUGAAAGCAGCUCGGCUGGAAUAAAGGGAACUACUGGAUAUGCUGCACCAGGUAACAAUUGUUCAUUUCCUUUGCCCAUUAUUCCCCUUAACAUAGCCAACAUCUUAAUUGAAUAGUUCACUAAAUACUUUGUUUGAUCAUAAAAUUGUACUGUAAUAACUUCAUCUCCUAGUAUAUCCGUCAUGUAAAAAGGAAAACAAAAUCUUCUUCAGCUAUAUUUACAUAUAUCUAAACUUUCUCGAGUGACAGAGUAUGGCCAAGGAAGAGAGGUGUCAAUAGAUGGAGAUGUCUACAGUUAUGGGAUCCUAUUGUUGGAGAUGAUGACAGGGAAGAGACCUAUCGAUGACACAUUUGAGAAAGGCCUUAAUCUUCACAAGUUUGCCAAGAUGGCCCUGCCCGACCAUGUUAUGGAGAUUACAGACCCAGUGCUUCUAAGUGAGAGACACUCGGAAAAUGCAGCAAGCAUGGAGGAGUGCCUGACUUCUUUGGUGAAAAUUGGAGUGGCAUGUUCCAUGGAUUCACCUAGAGAUCGAAUGGACAUGAGCAGGGUUGUCCGCGAGUUGCUCAUGGCCAGGGAUACUUUCCAAGGAACUGCAAGAAGGCCCAAAAACAACAAGUAUCCAGGUGCUCAUUGUAACUCCCGGGUAAAUUCUUGUAUUUUUUAUUUACAAAAAAAAAAAAGAAGGGGGGGAAAUAUUUUUAUAUAUAUAAUGGAGUGGAAAUUAUUAUUUAAAUAAUGUGAAUGUGGACAAGGAUUUAAAUUGAAUAAGUCAAACUUUUGGGCCAAAUGGUUUAAAACAAAACAAUGAAGGACUUAAAUGAAAAAGGAGCAAAACUUGUAAAUAUAAAAACAAGUGGGGAGUGGUUUUAAGGGGGAAGUGGCCGGCUAUGUUAGGGCUUGAGAGGGAAAAGAAUUGAGUGAAAUUUAUCUCAGUUUCUCCAAAAUAAAUUUAAAAAAAGAAGAAAAAGAAAAGAAAAGAAAAGAAAGGAGAUAUAACUAGUAAUUAAAGGUUAUUAGGAAGGGUUUGAACAAGAAAAUUUCAAAAGGGAAACAAAAGAUGUUUUUUUUAAAGAGGGGAGGCAUUGAGAGGAAAAUAAGGGGGGAAGGAGGAAAGAAAUUUGUGUGGUGAUUUCAAGCUUUCCAUCUCUUAUUUCUUUGAAUUAAAAGGUAACAAAUCUCUUCCUCUCAAUUAAAUAGAUAUAUUUAGUAUGUUAAGAUUUUAUUCAAUUUUAUUAGUGUAUAAUUAUGGUAUGAGUUGUGAGGUUUAAUGGGUUCACUUAUGAAAUUAUGAUGAAUUAAUGUUUUAAUAAAUGAAAUAAUAGUGGGUAAUGUUUCAAUUUGUGAAAUUGAAGAAAAAAAUCAUUAUGGGUUCUUUUGAGGAGAGGUUUCGGCCAAGAGAAAGAAAAUGAAUGAAAAUGUUGGAUCAAUAAUUAAUUAUUGAGUUAUGUUGUAAUAUUGAUGAUGAAGGAGUUAUAUUAGGGAUGAGUUAAUAUUGUUGAGUGAUAAUUAAAUGAAUUAUGUGAUAAUAUUGAUGAUGAAGAAAUAAUAUUAGUGAUGAGUUAAUAUUGUUGAGUGAUAGUUAAAUGAGUUAUGUGGUAAUAUUGAUGAGGAAGGAAUUAUAUUAGUGAUGAGUUAAUAUUGUUGUUUGAUAGUUAAAUAAAUUAUGUGGUAAUAUUGAUGAUGAAGAAAUUAUAUUAGUGAUGAGUUAAUAUUGUUGUUUGAUAGUUAAAUGAAUUAUGUGAUAAUAUUGAUGAUGAAGAAAUUAUAUUAGUGAUGAGUUAAUAUAUUGAGUGAUAAUUAAAUGAGUCAUGAGGUAAUAUUGAUGAUAAAGAAAUUAUGUUAGUGAUGAGUUGAUAUUGUUGUUGAAAAUUAAAUGAAUUUUGUGGUGAUGUGUUGAUGAAAUAAUUAAAUUAGCAAUGAGUUGUUUUGCUGGUUUGUUAAGUAAAGUGGUUAUGUGGUGAUGUUAUUGAUGAAAUAAUUAAAUUGAUGACAAGUUGAUUUUGUUGAAAUAAAAUUUAAUUGGUAAUGAAAUGAACUUGCAGGAGUGGACGAGGCUACAAGAACCACUCAGCAGACAGGUUCAACUAGUAGGACGCAAACACCAGGUAGGUGUUUAAUAUCUUGAAUAUUUUUUCUUUCUCUAAACUUUAGAUAUUUAAAUUUUCUCUUGAUCAACGAAAUCUUAUGUGGAAUGCUAGUAGAUUUUCCCAAGAUAAUUUAUUUUGAAAUGAAAAACUGGUACCCUGUGAAUGGGCAAUUGAUAACCAGUUAUCCUGGUAUCCUGGUAUGGAACUGGUGCCCUGUGAAUGGGCAGCUAGUGGACCAGUUAUCCUGGUAUGGAAUUGGUGCUGGUAGUUCAGCUGUGUUGGUAUGGAACUAGUGCUGGUAGUCCAGCUGUACUGGUUUGGAACUGAAGUUCUAUGAUGUGGACAUAUUUAAAUUUUGGAUUAUUGAUUUGAGAAUUGUACUUGGAAGAUGAUAGUAAAUGUGGGAAUUUUGUGAGUAAAUAAUGCAUAUAUUUAUAUGUUAUUACAAAUGUAAAUACUCUAAUUGAUCAUGAUUAUCUUUUAAAUCAUUAUGCAGGUUCAUCUCAAUACCGCGCCUGAUAGUAGUUUUUAGAGUUUACUUCUAUUACCAGUAAAUCUUUUGGAUAUGUAAAUUAUUGAUUAUAACAUUACUAUCUGUAUAUUUUGAAGAUUAUAAUGUUGGGUAUGUAUGAAUUUAAAUGGACUAGCUUAUUUAACUUGUACUCUGUUAUGUAAAUAUUUUCUAAUUAUGAUGGUGAUAUAUAUAUAUAUAUAUAUAUAUAUAUAUAAAAGCAUGUAGUUAAUAUCAUUUGUGAUAAACUGUACUUAAAAGAUUAUAUUAGAUCCAUAAUCUAUGGUUUAUGUUUCAUGGUUAAGAUAAUUCUUUCUUCAUUUUAGCAAAAUAAUUAUUCAUUGAGUUGAUAUGCUAAAGAAAGUGAAAUAUUGUUGAUUAAGAUAUGUUGGAGUAUAAUAAGAACAUUAAAUUGUGGAAAUUGUUGAUUAGGGACUAAUAUUGAUUUUGUCGAUAACUUGGACAAACUAAAUUAGGAGAAAUUCUGCCAAAAUUUUUGAAAAAAAAAAUCAUCAUGAAUUUUCUUAAUAUAUUGCUGGAAAAUUUAUUGGGGCUGUUACACUCAUGGUUUUCACAGCUAAGGUAGGAUUCUAUGGAGAAAACAACGAACAAAAGUGCCUGAAUAUGUUCAGACUUGCUGCUUGGGAUGGCGAUUAUGACAUUGAAUUGUGAAUGAUUGAGCCCAACAAGAUUGCCUCUUUCUGGGCUUGUAUGUCGAGGAUCUCGCCAAGCCCGGUGAUUAGCACAAUCGAUCCAUGGUAACAUUUAGUUGUCCAACCGGUAGAUCUUAUAAAACAUUUUAAGGAGCAUAUGGAUAGUUAGCCAUGGAUGAUAUAUAUUUAAGGAUGAUAACAUGUGUGGGUUUUAUGGGUCAGGGUUUUUUUUAUUCAUGUGGGGUGUUUGAGUCAGUUUACACGUACCUUGAUUAAUCCCUAUAUAUCUUGAAAUUAACGACCAGAUAAAUCUUCAGUGGUCAUCAAUAUUAACAAAUAGAUAAAAUUUUUGCUAUUUAAGAAAAUAUAUAAAGUGUCAAAGAUGAGAGUAAAUAUUUAUGAAUAAGUUUUGUACUCCAACUUAAAAUAAUAAUUCAAACCUAACCUAACUCAAUUGAAUAUAAAUUUUUUAUUCUAGAUUUUAUCCCAUUAAUUUCUAGUACUCAUAACAUUAAACUCAAAUUUGAGUAUUAUAAUUUUAGUUUAAUAUACAUAUAAUUUUUCAAACUUCAAGUUUUUUUUUUUAAUUUAUAAGACAAUAUCUAAUCUAAAACUUGAAUUUUUACCUUCAAGUUUUACAAAAUUCUCCUAACUAUCAACUAUCAAGGGUUGAUUAGAAUAUAUACCUACCUGUUUCGGGUAAAAUUAUUAUAUAUUUUUAACCAGGAUUAUCCCUAAAGUACAAGAUACAUCUGUCGUAAUGAUUGAAGAAAAAUAAUGUCCUUUCUCGUUUUGGCAAAUUUUGGAAGUUGGAAGCUUUCGUGACCGCUCGUAGCAAGCUCAAUCAGGAACCACGAGUCCGAUUAAAUGUCUGAAUCAAAGAACCACCAGGCAGAACCGUUUGUGUGGCAGUGGCUAGAUUUGGUAGCUGAUCAUAAACCAAUUGCUUUAGUUAGGGUUCAUCAAGACCACCCAAGAGGGAAUCACUACCUGCUUCGGUGGCAUGCACAAGCUUGCUUGGAGAGGGAGGGCCCAACCUCUCAUGGAAUGUGGAGUCCAAACACAAUAAGGCUAUAGUCAUGAUGUGUAGAUAGAGUUUAUCUAAGUAAUGUCAAAAAAUUAUUUCAAUCCAAUAAUUUAAAGUGUUAAAUGAGAUUUCAAUAUAUAAUUUAUAUUAUUAUUUAACACACCCUCUUAAGUAAAAGCCCUUCGAAUUUGAAACUUGCACAAACUCAUAUUACCUUAUACUUAAUGUUUUAUCAAAUAAACAUGGUUAAUGAGAUUCGAAUUUGUAAUCGCUUAGUCAUCAAAACUCUGAUACCAUGUCCAAAAACCAUCUCAAUCCGAUAGUUUAAAUUGUUGGGCGAAAUUUUAAUAUAUAAUUUAUAUUAUUAUCUAACAAAUAAAUUCUAAUUGUAAGUGUAUUUCAAAAUAGUGCGCGGUGAUAUCUAGGCAAUAUAUAUUUCUUUAUCAUAAGACCAGCAGGUAUAUUAAUUAACCAGGUAACCAUAUUCCAUAAUAAAUCUCAAAGAAUAGAAAAUAGUGGUGGGUGCUGCGAUGCCUGACUUUCUUGCGAAAGCAAGCAGUACGCAUGGGACCUCUUCUGCAUAUAUCUUUGCUAAUGCAAGCCCUUAAAGUUUAAUUAUUGAAAAAAGAAGUGUUUUGGUUUUGUAUUUUGUACGAAGACAUGCAAUUAUGCUUGCCACCACCCUAUAUAUGGUCCAAAAACUCAAUUAUUUCACUAAUGGGGAAGAUUAGUGCAAGAAGAUGUAGACAAUCAAGCAAAAUAAAUAUAUUUUUUUAACUAAAAUACAUACAUAAUUAAAAUUUAAAAGGGUAUGCUUUUAUGAGCAAGACAUAGGCCACCCCCUGCCCCUUCAUGAAUGGGAUCGAUGUUUAUAAGAAAUUAUACAAAAACAAGAAGAAAAUGGCCAAGUCUGAUUUUACAUAAUGGAAGGAGUUUUCAAUUUAUCUUAGUCCCUAAAUAAAUUAUUUUUCUUCAAUAUAUAUCCUUUUGUCUUUAUUUUCCAUCCAAACUAAUAGAAAAAUCACAUGAUUUACAGAUGAUAUAUUUUGAUGUAAAAAAUACGCUUUACUUUGAAUAGGGUGUCUUGUAUUUUAAAGGUUGUGUCCAAUAAAUCUUUAUAUAUUAUCGUAUCACUCAUGUCCUUAAAUUUUAGUCAAGUUAUUCUAGGGAUGGUGGUUGAUAUAAAAACUAAAAUUAGGUUGCAUUUGGAAACACAGUAUUUUUUUUUUUUUUUUGUAAAAAAUUAAUUUAUUUUUAUGUUUUGGAUCGUUUUAAUGCGAUGAUCUCAUAAAUAAUUUUUUAAAAUAAAAAAAAAUUAUUUUGAUAUAUUUUGACACAAAAAACACUUUAAAAAUUAACCGCAAUCACAGUCCCAAACUGUUUAGAAAUCUUGAGAAAGUAAUUCACAUGAAAAAAUCUAGUUAAUUUAAAUAACGUAUCAUAAUUUUAGUUAAUUUCUUUUAUGGAAAAAACUACAUGUGAUAUCUUAUAAACAUGAGAUAAACAAGUAUUAUUAAGAUUUGAGUUUAUUUUAAAUAUUAUUUUUUAUCAUGAAUUAAUUAAAAAAGAGCAAAUUAUGCAUUUAUCUUGCAUUUUUAGUUAUUAAAAUAAAAUCGAUUGGUAGGCCUUCAAUUUAUUUUCACUCUAAAAUCUCUAGUUUUUUCUUUUAACGUUUUUUUUUCCACAAUAAUAUUUUAGGAUUUAAAUAAUAAGAAGGUUGUAAGAAAAAAUUAAUAGUGAAAAUAUUAAUUUAAUUGAGAAACAAUUGUGAAAAAAAAAUGUUAAAAAAUCGAUUUGAAACUACCAUAUUGGUAAAGAAAAAUAACUUAUAAGUUCUUGGGAUUUUGCUGAUGUGUUUUUAUUCUUGAGCAUGUUUAAAUAUUAUUUUGAUAUAUUUCUAGGUAUAAAGCAUUUUGAAUCAUCACUAUUAUUAUAAUCUCAAAUAAAUCCUUCAUCACAAUAGAAUAAUAUGAAGAAAAAAGAAGAAGAAGAAGAAAGAAUCAGGAAGAAAGAGAGAGAAGAAAUAUCUUUCUUCUCAAAACAAAUCCCUGUAUUUUUAAAUUAACCAUCAACUUUUGUCUUCAAGUCCUCAAAAUUUUUCAUGAAUUUUUGUUCUAUGUCGGCAUCUGAUUUGAAUACUUGUAACCCUGGAAUAUAUAUAUUUUCCAAGCAGCCUUGAAAUAUCUUCAGGAGCCGGUCGGUAAUUGACAAAUAAAUUAGCCGAAAUCGUGUUAUGGAAUCACAAUUAUUAAAUUCCGUCUGUUCUGGUAAGUCAACAUGAUCUUCAACAUGAUUUUUUUAAAAAUUCAACUCAAAGUUUACUCGAUUUGAUUGAUAGAUUCAACGAAUUAACUUGAAAUCUUGUCAAAAUUUAUUUUCAUAUUUUAAUUAAUUAGAGUUUAAUAAUUUUAAAUAAUUGUAUCCAUGAAAUAUCUUGAGGCGCCGGUCAUUGAUCAACAAAUAAUUUAGCUGAAAUCAUAUUAUGAAACGGAUAGAAAAAAGAUAUUAAUCUUGUCUUUAAUUACAAUUAAAGUACGUAUUAUUAUUUAAUCAUAUCAAGGAGCGUAAGACUUUGUCCCUUUCAUUAUCGCUCUAAUAAAAAAAUAAUUCAAACUUGAAUCUUAUCUUUCCUUUCAAAAUUGCUUUUCUCCUUUGCACUCAUGAUUAAAUACCAGACAAUAAUGUUAUUGAUCAUCUCAAAGGGAAUUUCUUUAUCGAUGAGUUGAUGGAUUUAACUAAUAAAGUUUUUUAGAUGAAAUUUAAUAUUAGAGGUUUUGAGAAAAUAAAUAUUUUUUUUGGAUAUUUCUGUUUUUUUAUUUAGUUUGGAAUUUUAUUUUUUUCCCUUUUAGUAUAUAUUGUUAUGUUUUUAUAAUUUUCUUCAUUUAAAGGAAAUUUUUUUUUUUGGUUUUCAUUAUUCCUUAUUAUUGAGUUUUUCAAUGUAAAAGGAUUUUUUUAUUCAAUAUCAUUAAGAUUUUUUUAAUUUUUAUAUAAAAAAAUGAUAAUAAUCUUUCUACAAGUAAACUUGAAUGAAUAUAAAUUUUUUUAUAUAUAAUAAACCUUGCUAUUCUUGGGUGUCAUAAGAACAUUGUGAUAAACAUGUUCGUGAUAAAAGAUGAUUUUAUAUAUGUGUUGGAUAAUGUGGUAAUUCAUAUCUUUUAAAUGUUUUUUAAUUGAAAAUAUAUUAAUAUAAUUUUUUAAUUUUAACAUCAAUACAUAAAAAUUAUAUAAAAAAAUUAAUUUGAAAAACAAAAACUACUAGGAUGUCAAAAGAGUACUAAUGAGGUUAUGCCCAAGAGUUUGUUUUUCUAAGAAAACAAAUAUAUUUAUUAGUUAUUUUUUUUCUUUUUUUUCAAUUUAUGAAUUUUCUUUUUUUCUACUUAGUACUAUUAGGUUUUUCUAGUUUUUAUAUUUAAAAAAAGAUUUCUAUUUCUAUUUUUCUUUUCGAUAUUAUUAAAGGUUUUUCUAUAUAAAAUGUUUUAAUAGUUUUUUUGGCAAGUAGACUUAAAUAAAUAAAAAUUUAAUAUUUUAGAUGUCUCCCCAUAAAAAUUAAGUAUUUUUAUUUAUAUCAAUACAUCAAAAUUAUCUGAAAAUAUUUACAAAAUUAAUUUAAUAUUUUUUUGAGUUAAAAAUCAAUUUAUAAAAUAUUUUUAAAAAAACAUGUAAUAGCACAGAAAUAGACACUCAACGUCUAAAAAUACAUGCCGACAAGAGUUGAACAUUGUAAAAAGAAUAUCUCUAAGUAACCAUAAAUCACUAAUCAAAGACUCCAAUAUUCAAUUGUGAAGCAUCCAACCCAGCAAACGUGACUUCUCCUAUAAGUAAAAAUAAAAACUUGUUUAUAUUUCAAUUCUUGCAGCCCCCGAGGAAAAAAAAAUAAAAAAAAUCCUUGGUGCUCCUCUGUUGGCCUCAAAACAAUCAAACAAAUUUCCCUCCUCCUGCUCCAUUUUAUACGACCAUCUCCUUCUUUUGACAGCCCUUUUAAUGGGAUCCAUCAAAAUUAGCAUCUCUUCCAUCCUUUCUUGGAUUCCCUUACAUCAUGUUGUAUAGCCAGAUCACCAAAGUCUCAAAUUGAACCAAGAAAGAAAAUCUCGAUGACAAGUUGCUGAGCUUUAUUCAGCCAUGGAGGAGAGGCGCGUUCUUUUUGGGAAGUAUGAGAUGGGGAGGCUACUGGGGAAGGGGACUUUUGCUAAAGUUUACUACGGGAAACACCUGGUAACCGGAGACAGUGUGGCUAUCAAAGUUAUAAACAUAGAUCAAGUCAAGAAAGAAGGCAUGAUGGAACAAAUCCAGACAGAGAUCUCAGUGAUGCAUCUUGUUCGUCAUCCCAACAUUGUUGAGCUCAAGGAAGUCAUGGCUACAAAGACCAAGAUCUUCUUCAUCAUGGAGUAUGUUCGAGGUGGAGAGUUGUUUGCCAGAGUAGCCAAAGGAAGGCUCAAAGAAGAAGUUGCUCGAAAAUAUUUCCAGCAACUAAUUAGCGCGAUUGAUUAUUGUCACAGCAGAGGUGUUUACCAUCGAGACUUGAAGCCAGAGAACAUGUUGCUUGAUGAAGACGAAAACUUGAAAAUCUCUGAUUUUGGAUUGUCAGCCUUACCUGAACAAUUGCUGCAAGAUGGACUUUUGCAUACUAUGUGCGGGACUCCUGCUUAUGUUGCACCGGAAGUUUUGAGAAAGAAAGGCUAUGAUGGAUCAAAAGCAGAUACAUGGUCGUGUGGAGUGAUUCUCUACGUGCUUCUUGCAGGAUUCUUGCCAUUUCAAGAAGAAAAUGUUAUGAAGAUGUACAGGAAGAUCUUCAAGGCUGAAUAUGAGUUCCAGCCAUGGUUUUCAACAGAUGCUAAGAGGUUGAUUUCAAGACUUCUUGUUGCUGAUCCUGAAAGGAGAAUCACUAUUCCUGCCUUAAUGAGAAAUCACUGGUUUCUGAAAGGGUUUUUAAGACCGACGGCCUUUUCAAUUCAAGAAUCAAUCAUGGAUAAAACAGAACAGGAUCAAGAUCUUGAUUCUUGUUAUGGUGUCAAGCCUAAAGUAACAUCACCAAGAUUCUUCAAUGCAUUCGAGUUCAUCUCUUCAAUGUCUUCUGGGUUUGAUCUGUCCAGUCUUUUUGAGACUAGGAAGAAACCAGGGUCGAUGUUCACUUCAAAAGUGUCAGCAAGUGCUAUCAUGGAAAAGAUUGAAGGGGUUGCAAAAGGGCUGAAUUUUAAGGUAGCAAGAGUUAAAGAUUUCAAAGUGAGGUUACGAAGUCCAUGUGAAGGAAGAAAGGGGAAGCUGGCAGUGACAGCAGAGGUGUUCGAGGUGGCACCGGAGGUUGCGGUGGUGGAGUUCUCCAAGUCUUCCGGAGAUACCUUGGAGUAUGCCAAGUUCUGCAAGGAAGAUGCUAGGCCUGCACUAAAAGACAUUGUUUGGACAUGGCAAGGAGACCAUGUUUGUACUAAUGAUAACAACAAUAGUCAAGUAGAAGAUUGUGAAAUUCAAGUGUUGUAGGAAGGCUUUGAUCUUAACUGGGGAAGUUUUACGAUUUUCUGUCAUCUGUAAAUAAGUUUUUGGUAAGUAAAUUAAUGCAGAGGAUGGGUGUCUUUGUUAAGCACAAAAUAACCAGAAAUUUUUACACUCUCUUAUGAUCAUCUUAUUUUGUUUCAAUAUUGGAUCAUCUUAAUAUCAGUGAAACUUGUAUGCUUGAUGGAGGAAAAGAAUUUUGGAUGCCACCAUUAUAAUUUGAUUGUCUUAAAAUAAGAGAUAUUAUUCAGUCUAAAAUAUAAUCUUAAUAUACAAAAAACUUGUCCAAAUUAUCCAAAUUAAAAAAUUCAGAAAUUGCGGUUAUUUUUUUAUUUUAAAAUAUAUAAAUAUAAUAUAAAAACAUUAAAAAGAUAUUAAUUUAAAAUAAUAAAAAAUUUAAAUUUUUUUAAAAAUAUUUUUAAAAUCUAAAAACAAAUAAACUAUUAAAUUAGUUUAGAAAACAUAUCCACUGGCCGGUAGUUGUACAAAUGGUUGGAGGAAAUGAAAGUGGUUAUGCUUUCAUUGUCGUGUUGGUUUCCCUCCCAACUAUUUAUGUUAAUGUUCUUUAUUUGAGACACGCGUUCAACUAUCAUGGGUUCAACUAUCAUUUCUCUAGUAGGAGAGACAAAACUAGAAACUAUAAGAGAAGUUUUGGAUUUUGCUCGAUGUAACAUAUGAAUGAUGACGACGUACUAAAAUCAGUAUAUUCAAGUAGGUUGUUUGAUAUUUGAACUUAGGUUAAUCAAAUAUUUAUAUUAUUAAUUUUUUUUAGUUCAAGGAGCACCAAAUUAAUGGUAAAAUUUUAGUACCUAUAAAAGCAGUUUUUAUCUAUGAAAAUUUUUAUAGUGAGAUUUAAAGACUCUUCGAUAAUAAAAUUAAUAAUUUCAAAUAGAAAAGAUAAUAAAAAUAUUUGUUCUUGUGUUUUGGUGUGAUUAAUGCUUUAAAACAUACAAGCUUUUUAAAGUAAGAAAAGUUAUGAAGUCUUUACUUGGAUAGUUCAAAGGGUAUUUAUAACCUCUGAAACUUGAUGUUUUUGGAAAAAAAAAAAACCCAGGAAAUCCUUAGUUUCUAAUGACAUUAAUAAAUGAUAAAUAUUUUUUAUACAUCAUCAAUGAGAGAAAAAUAUACCUUACAUAUUAUUAAUGAGAUGAAAAAUAUAAUAGACUCGUUGAGAAACCUUUUAUACAUUUAUAUAUGUAGGGAUAUGAUUACCUCCUACAUGAACAACUCAUAUAGAUAAAACUAUAUGGUUCUAACAUGAAUUUCUAAGUUUAACUGGGUUUGGUAUCUUACCAGAUUCACGGUUAUUUGAACAACUCAUGGAUGAAUUCAAAUGUAUUGAGUCUGAUAUCUUGUAAAACUCAUGGUAACGUAGGCUCAAUUUAUGACUGUACUCAAAUAUAUUGAAUUUGACAUUUCGCUAGAUUCAUGGCGACUUGGACUUAGUUUAUAGCUGAACCUAAAUAUAUUGGAUCUAACAGCCUAAUAGAUCCAUGUUGGAUUGGGCUAAUAUAUAUAUGUUUGGGUUGUUUCGAAAUAUAAAAAUAUGAACUCAUCAAUAGGAGAGAAAAGCAAGGUUGGACCAUUUAUAGGGAUGAAAGUCCUAUUAAACAUUUGGAACCACUCCCAUCUACCUUUUGUUCUAGCUAACUAAGUUGUUCAUGGCUUCUUCUUUGCUUAAAAUUAAAAGUAUUGAUUCUUGAAAAACCAUAGUCUAAUUAUGAACUUCUUCUUCUUCUUGAUUUUUAGGGUUAGGAUUUUUUCAACUUUCCGUGCUAACAUUUUUUUUUUAAUGUUUUAAUAAAAAACAGACCACCCAUUUUGGGUUAUUUUAGAGAUAAAAUUAUGUGAUAUUCCAUCGUAGAUUGAUUAGUUAAGUAUGGAAACUUUUUAUGCAUGGAUAAGAUCAUGAUGCUGAACAUAUAUAUAUUUGGGAAUUUUAUAAGUGUUUUCACAUAUAUUAUUUCGAAUACUUUUUUUGAAAAUUUGGAAAAAUGCGUUGACAUCAAGACUAAAGAUAAGUGUAAAUACCAGGGAGAAGCAUCGAGCCCUAAACCUCCUGGUGAAAAUGAUACGUAGAUUAUGAUCUAUGCAUCCCAAAUAAUUAAAAUCAUGUUGAUAAGACACAAAUUAUAUAUAAUUAAUUUACAACCUUCUGAAUUUAUAUUUUUUUAAAUAAAAUCUUUGUCAUGGCAUGUCGGGUAACAAAGCAUCAAGCACCCUCGAUACUGUUAUAGAUCUUGCGAUUGAUGAGUGAUAAAUCUCUUUUCCUUUCAUUAAUGAUACUUUUUAACUUUUCAAGCAAACUCCGUAAGCUGAAAGUGGACAAUGACAUUUUUUAUUUAACUAGAUAUGUGUCGUUCGGUAUAUAUGCUUUUUAGAGAUUAGGAAAAGAAAAACAUUUACUCAUAGAAUAAACACUUUUAUUUUUUUUUAAUUUAUGUGGGGUAUUCGAAUUAAUUUACGUGCACCUCGACUAAUCCUCAUGGACCCUAAAAUUAAUGAUCAAAUAAGUCUCCAAUGGCUAUUAAUAUUAGCAACCUUAGAACUCGAAUUUAAGAUUACAAGGAGAACAAACAUUUUGGUCCCAAACUCUUACAACUAGAUUACCUGGUAAAAAAAACUAUAUUUUAAAGUUGUAUUGUAUUAUGUAAUAAUGAUCCUAUGAUAAAAGUUAUUUUUAAUUCAAAAUUAAUUUAAAUUAGUUUGUAAUGAAUCCAUCUUUUAUUUAUAUAAAUAAAGACAUUAUUGAAAUCAAUAUUGUAAUGUAUGUGUAAUAUUUUAAAUAUCCAUGCACUAAACAUGAUUUAUAUAUCAGGAUAAAAAUCUUUCUUUAUAUCGAUUGUUGAAAUGCAAUUUGUAUAUAACAGUUUUUUUCUUUCAAAAGCAAGAUUCAUAAAAUAGAAAUUGGUUAUUUGAUUAUCGUCCAAGGAUAAGAAAAAAACUAAAAAAUAUUUAUAUGAAGAGAUAAAGAUUAAAAUUAAAACAAAUAUGUUUUAAAAAUAAUUUAAAAAUAAUUUUAUAUAUUUUUAAAACAUGAAAACAUAUUAUCUCUAUCUCUAUUGCCCCCAUAUUAUCUCAAAAUAAUAAUUAAACACUAUCUUCAAACUCGAUAGUAUUUGAUGGAUUACCAAUCCUAUUUGUAUUUAUAAUUAUUUGGUGAGAAUUAAUAUAUAUAUAUAUAUAUAUAUAUAUAUAUAUAUAUAUAUAUGUGUGUGUGUGUGUGUGUGUGUGUGUGUGUGAUAAUAAUAGUAUUGAUCUUUAUUUUUUGAAAAAGCUUUAAAUAAUUUUUUUAAAAUUAUUUUUAUUAUUUUGAUAUGCUAAAGUCAAAAAUAAAAUAUUUUUUAAAAAUUAUUUUAAUAUAUUUUCAAAAAAAAAAAACCUCUAAUAAACUUACACACAUUCAUACAGGAAAGAAAAGAUAAAAAAAGAAAAGUCAUGAAUUACCAUCAAUGUCUAGAAAUAAAACAAAAUCAAAUUGUGCUAGAUUUGCCCACUUGAAUUUGGGCGUACCACUAAGAUAAAAUAGGCCCAAUUUCUCAAGAAGAGACAGAGUAAGCCUACUGCAAAAAAUGCAAAAAAGACAUAAUGGGCCUCGAUAACUUUAGAAGAAAGCCUAUGGGCAUGCAUCAAGUCAGUUCUAUUGCUUCAAUUUUUUAGCUCUCAUCAGCCCAAGCCAAGAUUCUUGAAUUGCAAGAAAAAAAUUGGAUCAUAAUUCAAGAUUAUAUGUGGCUGAGAAGAACCUAGAAAGCUAUAAGUUGCAUCUGGACUCGAUUUUUAAAAGUAUUUUUCAUCUAAAAAAAUAAUAAUUUGAUUUUUUUAUGUGUUUACUGAUAUUUUUAAUAUAUUCAUGUUAAAAAUAAAAAAUAAUCUGAAAAAAAUAUAUUUUUAAUACACUUGAAAACAUUUUUGCAAGAUAACUGUGCGUUGUAUUGCCAAAUAUAUUAAAUAUGAGAAACAAUUAAUGGAGCCCAAAAUGGAAGUCCAAGUCCAAAUAUAUUGAAUUCUUUUAUUCUUUACCCCUUAAAAACAAUGAUAUGGAAAACAUCAGAAUAUGUACUCAUGCCCUCUAUUCCGAUAAAAACAAUUAAGAAUAAGUUGAUGUUUAGAACUGUUGAAAAUUAUUAUUAUUGUUGAUUUCUAUUAUUAUUAAGGCUGAUGCGGGGUUUUAGUAGGUAAGAUUUACUGGUUGGAUAAUUCAAUCAAAAUGAUAUUAUUUUAAUUUAUUUUUAAAAUUAAAUAUUAAAAUAAAGUUAUUUUGAUUUUUUUUAAAUCGCAUCUCAAUUGUGCCUGAAUCAUAAGUUCAUCAUCCUAUCAAUUGAGUUUAAUUUAAUAAACUUUUACCUUCUUCAACUUUUAAACCCAACUUAAUUUGAGAGAAAAAAAUUAUUUUAUUCUUAGAAUAAUUACAAAAUUUCAAGUUUAUUUCAAGAGCAAUUGUUAUAUGUAUGGAUAUAUAAUUUGGCACAAAAACUCAAUACUUGACUUCAAAUAAAACCAAUCAGAUUUGAAAACACUGGUUGAAUUCUAAAUCAAACUAAAAAUAAUGAUUUGUCUUGAAAAUAAAUAAUAAAUUAAACACCAUUGACAUGAAGAAGACAAUAAUCAUUCAAAACGAAACCAAACGAACACACGUCACAAAAGAGACAAAUCAUGACGUAUGCUUGCUGAUGUAAUGGAUUUCAACAUCAUGAAAACAACCUGUAAUUUGCAAGCAAGUGGUAGGGACGACAUGGCUUCUAGCUCUUGCCGUUGUUGACUUAAAAACAUAAAGCCAAGUCUUCCACGUAAACGUAUGUGCUCAUUCUUUUCACAACGACAUUGUGGAAAACCUUUUCCAUUGUCCUUGCAUGUUCUAGCCAUUCGUUUGCUGGCUAAAAAACGUUUCGAAACACGAGCACCAAGUUCUUCAGUGGAGGAAAAAUGAGCAGAUGUCAUCAUAUUCGAAAAGUAAACAUGGAGCAUUUCACAUUCCAGGAAAAUUUGAGAGGUCUGGAUCAUUGCUCCCAUGCAUGACGAUGGGGUGAGGAGAAGUGAGUGAUGCAAUAUGCAGACAUCAUCAGGAAAAUAAUGCAGAGGACCUGUGAUUAGACGCCAUUGAAGAGAACUUGACCUGCAAAUUCUACGCAACAAGGUGUGAUUAAUGUAUGAUUUGUGGAAGAAAACACGUACUCUUUGAUUGAAAAGUUGAGUUGGAAUUCCACAAGAGGAGAAAUUUACAAGGUGUAAUGGUUAGAUACACACGAACUGCUAUUUAAUUGAAAAGUUGAGUUAGAAUUCCACAGGCAGGAGAAAUAUUUAGAGAGUAAUUAUAGUUAGACAUCAUCGCCAGAAAAUUAUGGUAUAAAUUUAUAUUAGGAUUUGAUUAAAAUAUCAAAAAUCUUAUAAUAACUAGUUUGUUACCAACACUAUUAGAAAUAGAAAAUAAAUGCGAUGAUAAAUCUAGAACUUAUAAUUAUUAGAAUUUAACUCAAUAAAGUAUAAAUUUCCUCACGAAAAAAGAUCUGUAUUGAACCUUAGAUAAAAUUACCACAUAGAAACAUAACCUGAAAAAACAAUUGAUAAGCAAUGCAGAAAUAUAGUACAUUAAAAAUGAUGCAUCUUCUCCUUACACAACUAAUUUUUUUAUCUAGAUUCUUACUGAUCAUUAAAUUUUCUAGUAAUUAUAAUAUUAAAUAGUAAGUACAGAACUUUAUAAUCAUAAUUUAUGAUUAAAUCUAGAAUAUGCCAUCAUGCUUUUUCGAAGUUAUUUAACGAAAAACAUGACAAAUUCUCUUUUUGUGUUUCAUGUGUAUAGCCUAACAACGCAUUUAGUGUGGCCACCCAUGAACUUUCAGUCAAUUUCAACUCCUGGUUCUAAAUACAAAAAAGAAUCUAAAUCUUUUACUUUUCUCUUUCUGUACAAUAUUUUAUUAAUAAGUUUACAUGGUGUGGAUAAGGAUUAGGUCAAGAUAUUCUGUCUGCCAAGGUUUGCAUUUUUUCUACGGCACAAAUCUUUGCCCUAAUAAUUUGUAUACAAAAAGAUAUCAAUAUACUGUGAUCACUGUCCUUUGUGUUUCUUGCAAGGCGUACUGUACUGUACUAUAUAUAGAGAUCUUCCUUUGUAAAUAGUUAAUAUAAAAACACUAUUACAAGUGUCUCACGUGGUAAAUUAUAUUUUUAGAUUAAAAUAAUUUUUUAAUUUACAUUAAAACCUCAUCGAUCAAGUGUUUGACAAUUUAAUUCUACCACUCUAAUUUUUUUAAUUAAAUUAAAAGUUCAAAACAAUAUAGUGGUAAAUGCAACAAAUUUUCUAGUUAAAUUACUUUCUUACAAGAUUAUGCGUAAAAAGUUAAUAUUGAUAUAACGGUUUAAAUUAUUUUAUUAAAAUGAUUUUUUAAUAUUCACAAUUUAUUAAAAAAAUGAUUAUUUAUUUUUAUUUUGAAAAUACACACAUACAAAAUGAAUAAUAAGUUUAUUGAUGUUAACUUUGGAAUGCUUGAAAACGAUUUUUUCUUAAGGUAAUUUCUAUAGAAACACUUAUGAUUAGGAGGCUUAAAGAAGAAGAUGAAGAAUUAGUCAUAGGACACCAACUUUAAUUCAUAAAUCUAAGUUAAUAUCACUUAACUUGGGUUGGUGUUUUUUUUUUUUAGCGUUUUUAUUUUUUUUUAUUUUUUUUCUAUCAAGUUUUUUUUAUUUUUUUUGUUGUUAUUAUUUUUUUGAACUAGAAUUUUUGUAUGAACCCGAGUAUGAGAUUUCACAAAUUAAAAUUUUAAAAAAUUGAACCUUAGAAGAUUUUAAAAGUUUUUUAUUUUUGUAUUAUUAAAUUAACUAAAUUUAUUAUCAAUGAUUCAAUUCUUGAACUUUUUAUAUUUAUUUAGAAAUCCUAACAUCCACUGAUUUAUUUUCUUCUUACAUUCAAAUAAAAAUUGGCUUUGCCACAUCAUUCCACUGGCCACCAAUAUAGAUUUACUCGAGUGAUUUUUUUUGUUCCACUUUUAAAUUUAAUUUUUUUUCCUUUUUCAAUCUUCAAUAUUUGGUUUCAUUAUAAUUAGUUUCAUGAUUUUAUUCCGAUCUCAUACUCCAAGUAACGAACUUUACAAGUUAACCAUUAUUUAUCAUUAUGAAUCCAAUAUAUUAUUUAUCUUAAUAUAUAUUUUUUAAAAAAUAUAUUAGCCAAAAUAUCACUAUUUUAAAGAUUAUUUAGCCGGUAUGCAUUAAAUUAUUAACUUCCUAACAUCUUAACAAUUUUUAAAGCUGAAAAAAACACUACCACAAAAUCAAUAAAUACAAACAAAAUACCGAGAUAAUAUUUCUGUCAAUAAAUUUUUGAACGAUUUUACCGACCAAAAUAUUUUCUUGGUAUAUACCAAGAGAAUUACAGUGGAAAAAAAAAAUAAAAAUGAUGACAUGUUAAUUUUAACCAACGAAAUUACCGACAGAAUUUAUUCCGUCGGUAAAUUCAUUGGUAAGCUGUGAACACUUUUCAGUAUGUCAAUUACAAAGGGAAUCACCGACGAAUUUUUCGUCGGUAUAUUCUAGAGAACUCCAGAACUGUUCACUUUCUAAUUGCACUGUUAAUUGUUGUUCUUUACGGACAAAAUCACCACGGAUUGAAAAGUCAUCGAUGUUAUUUGGCGAUUUUUUGAAAAAAUUCAAGUAAUUUAAAAUUUUCACUUAAAUAUUACAAACAAAAAUUACCGACAAAUUGAAAAAUCGUCGGUAAUUGUUGACAAUUUCUGAAAACUUUUUACAAAAUUAAAAAUUUAAUUAAAUAUUACCGAUGAAAUUACUGACGGAAUAAUUAAAAAAUAUUAAUAUUUAAUUAUUCAUCAGUAAAUCCGUCGCUAAUAUGCCCCAAUAAAAAGCCUGAAUCCCUUUAUUCUACAAGAGACAUACUCAUUUCUUCUUCUACUUCUUCUUCUUCUACUACUUCUUCUUCUUUACUAUAAGUAAAAAACAUCAAUAUCUAUUUCUUUCUAUUCUUUUCUCUCCUCAUCUUCUUCUUUUUUUCUCCAUGUUCGGGUAUGUCUUCUUCUUCUUUCUUCUUUUGUCCUCUUAGAUUUUUUUAAUUAAUAUACUUUACAAAUUAUUUUUUUUCUGUCUUUAGCAUUAGCUUCACUUGCAACUACAUUAAGGUAAGAUUUUUUUUUUCAUGAUUUUUUUCACUAUAUUUGUUUUUUAUUUUAUUUUUAAUUGUUUUUGUUAAUAAUUAUAUAAAUGUUGCUGUGACUUUUUUUUCAUAUAAAAUCAAUUUUUAGUUGAUUUAUUUAUAGAAUUUUUAAAUUUUUAGCAAUUGCAACUUUAUUUUUUUCAUAUGAAUUUUUUUAAUUGAAUUUUUGCAAAUUUAUUUGAGUUGAUUUUUUUUCCAAGCAUUUUAAAUAUAUAUUAUAGAGUGUUGAUUGGUGUUAAUUUAAUUAUUUUAUAAUUGUAUCAAAUGAACUUUUUUAAAAUGUUUUUAAAUAAUUAAUGAAGCGUUUGUUCCGUCAGUAAAUCCGUUGGUAAUAAUAUUUUUUUUAUUAUCAACAAAUUUACCUACGGAUAAAAAAUUAUCGAUGAAAGAUUCACCGACAAAGCAUUUAUAUCAGUAAUUUUGUUGGUAAAUUAAUUACCGACGGAAUAUAUAUCUUACGCCAAUAAAACUAUUAAAUCUUGUAAUGAAAACCCUACCAAAUAUUUAAUGCAUGGACUUCUUCUUUAACUCAUCGGAAAUCCAUAUAGUAGGCUUUUGCUAUAGAAUAGAGAUGAGAUCCUUUCUGAUUACGUUACAACCAGUUCGACAGAACAUUCAUGAGUACAUCAACUUAAAUAAUAUCUCGGAUCUGUAAUAAAAGCAACACAAACUGGGUUUAUAUGCUUGAGCAAGAUCGAUCAAAACUGAUUAAUAAACAUAUAUGCAUAUAUACAAUAUUUGUAGCCAAGAGAGAUAGGUGGAUUAAUAUACAGUUCCUCUUCAGAUUUCCUCCCCUUCUAGAUGCAAGUCAAGUUUGAUAAUAUCCAACUUCGCAGAAAUAACGUUGGAAUCAUGACUUCGUCGAUUAUGAUAAUUAAUCCAACCAAAAAAAUCUGAAGCUAAAUAGAAAAUAUAAUUAAAAUAAAAAAAUUAACUUAUAAAAUAAUUAAAACUGUUGGUUACAACCAAUUAAUUUUUUAUAUAUAUAAAACUAUACAAUAAAAUUUGAAGGUGAAUCAACAGUUAAAUCAAAAGACAUAUGAAUCUUUACUUGUCAAGCUGCACAGUUAAUGCAUUCAAACUUCUUUGCGAACUUUGCUUGAUCCAUCUUAUCUGUAAACGUAUGUAACGUGUUACACAUUAAUGUCUUGGUUUUCUUAUUUUUAAGUUGUUAAAGGCUGUUCUGUGAAGAGUCCAUGGUUGGUAUUUUAUUUCGGAUAAGAAGAUGCAAGAUGGAAAGAUUUUGUUUUACUUUUAAUCUGGAUGUCGCUGGAUGUCGGUAGAAGUCUGUUUGGCUUCUCUUCUUGGCGUGGCUCCAAAUCUGCAUCUUUUAGCUACUUCCUUGAUUUCUUGGCUUCAAAUAUAUAUAUUGUAGCUGCUUUUUGUUAUUCUCGUUUCUUGGUAUGUUGUUCAUUUCAUUGCUGCAUAGUUUUGUUUAGGUGUCCUGUAAACAGAAUUUCUAUGUUCCCGUCAUCUAUUGGCGCCUUCUAAUGCAAUAUUAUACUUUUCAAAAAAAAAGAAAAAAGUAACGUGUUACACAUUAAUGGUAGACAAAACGUACAAAAAGUUUUUUUUUCUUUUUUCCAAAGCUUCUAGACGGAAAGAGCAAGCUUUGAUCAUGAGAGAGUAAUGAUAAAGUUCUUCGCUUAUUUUAACUCCUUUGAAUUCUAAUCCUCUAGAGACUUGAUCUUAAUUUUCCGUAGCUAUUUCUAUCUGUUUUAAUUAGUAAAACCUAAUUAUCGAUUAAUGUAUGACACGCUUUCAUUUCCAAUUCAUUUGAAUUAGAUUACUAGUUUUUGCUCAACAUAAAUAUUAAGGAUGAAUAUUCAUGAAUCCAAUUUUUUUAUAUAUUUAUAUUUUAUUUAUUAUUUAUUGUAUAUAAAUUUUAAAUAUUUAUAUUCAAUUUAAAUAUCCAAUUUAAAUAUUUAUUGUAUAUCCAAUUUAUUAUUUAUAUUUUAUUUAUUAUUUAUUGUAUAUAAAUUUUAAAUAUUUAUAUUCAAUUUAAGGUUUCUAUAUCUAUAUGGAUAUUCAUUAUUUUAUUAUUAUUAUUAAAAAAAUAGUAUUAUUUAUAUUGGAAGUAUGUAAAUAUUUAUUAAAUUAUAUAUAUAUUUAUGUAUAUAUAUGUAUGUGUGUUAUAUUGAAAUAUGUAUAUAAUAUAAUGGUUAAUAUUAAAAUUAUAUCCGACAACACGACUCUCUCUCCCUUCUUUUUAGGGAAAGAAAACAUCCUGUCCUUUAAUAUUUUUUUAUAAAUUUAACUUUCAUUAUUAUAAAUCUAGCCACUCAAUACUCAAUUUGUCAAUACACCAAAUCUAAUUCAAUUUCUUAAUCUUUUAAAGGUAUAUACUUAAAUUUUUGUUAUAACCCUUUUUAUGUUAAAAUUUUAGCAUUUUAUGUAUGUAAUAUAUAUAGUUUGUUUAUAUUGUUUACUUGUUAUAUAGCUUUUUUCUACAAAAAUUUGUUAUAUAAAUAUAAGAUUUGUUCAUGUAAAGGUUUUUUGAAAUUCAAAGAAAUUAUAUUUGUUUAAUAUUUGAUGAAAUUAAAUUAAAUUUUAUAACUUAGUUUUUAUUUAAUGAAUACAUUUUAUAUUUUAAUGUUAAAUUGAAAUUUUCAUUAAAUUUUAAAAAAAAUACAUAAAUUUUUUUUUGGAGAUAAUUAAUAAUGAUUAAAUAAUACUAUUAAAAUAAAUUGAAUAAAUUUGAAUUGAUCCAAUGAUAGCUAAUCAAUUAGGUAUUGAUAAUUUGUUUAAUACAUGUUGUCAUCAAUAUUUUAUAUAAACUUCAUUCUUAGAUGGAUCGAGUUUCACCCAAAAAGUUAUAUAUAAUGGAUUAUUAUAAUGAGAUUAAGGGUUUUAUUAAUUAUACACUAUCUAACCUAAAAAAUAUUAGUGAAUACGGUAUUAAGUGUCCAUAUAAAAAAUGUAAAAAUAAAAAGUUCUUCGAUCCAAAUGUUACGAUGCAUCAUCUACAAAAACAAAUUCAUGAAAAAUUCUUGCAUCGAUUCGCACACAAAGAACCCUAUUCGCUAUACAAAACCAUGAUAGAAAGUGUGAUUGACUCAACUUCUAAUUCUAGCAUCAUGCAUAGAGUUGUAAAUGACAAUGGUAAUUCGCAUAAAUAUGAUGAUGGAUACAAUAAAAAUUAAUUAUGGUUCUUCGAGUAAAUGCUCAAAUAUAGAUAAAGAAUUAAAUACAAACACAAUUAGGGUUUUUGAAUUGUUUAAAGAUUCUUGUUACAUGUGGAUAUUGAGACCUGCUAACAUGUAAAAUGCUACCAUGUAAAAGGGAUAAAUACAUGAAAAAUAAGUUAUUACUUAGUUUUAUAGUAACUAAAAGCCCUCGCUAAUCUUAAAAGAUUUUAGGUAAAGGGUAAAUUAUGUAACAAGAUAGAUAACCAUCACCUUAUAUAUCUUAUCUAAAAUAAAUUAUAUUAUUGUUUGUUUUUAAUGAUAAAUAUAUUCUUAUUAUUAUUUAUCUAAAUUGAUAUGUAUAUUAUCCAAGUUAUUAUCUUUGUUCACAAAACAAAGUACACAGUAUAGGGUUUGAUAUCAAACCUUACCAUCGUGAGUUAUUUUGGUAAUGAUGGGCAUAUAUUUUUACAAGACUUGUUAUAGGUUGAAUUUAUUUGUAAAAAUCAAAAUGGUUAUGGCUAGGAAAACCAAAAAUUUAAUUGAUUAAUAUUCCACAAAUUAUGUGUUAAUUGAUACUAUUAUUAACUUAUGGACAUCCAAAGAUCAUAUCCAAUAUUAGAUCAUACCAUCCUAGGUCAAUUGAUAAUUAAUAGAAACAAUUAAUUCUACGAUCAAGAAAUUCAAAGGACAAUUUUAUUACUAUUUUUGUUAUUAUUUAUUUAUUUAUUAUUAUUAUUAUUAUUAUUAAUUUCUUAUUUGUUUUUUGUAAUUAAUCUUUUAAUCAACAUUCAGAUUAAGGGUUUAAGGUUAGACUAUAUCAUCUCAUCUUGAGAUGAUUAAUAAAUUAUUUUUUUAUUAAUUAUUUUUUAUUUUUUUAUGAAAAAAUCAAUUUCUUAGUUUAAUUAAGCCUACUAGCAAGUUUUUCGUUAUUUAAUUCCAUUCAAUUAAACUCAAUGUUCAUAUCUUUAAUUAAAAAAAAAUAGCAACAAAUAAAAUGCCAUCCUACAACAUUAAUGAUUUUCUAAUUUUAUUGACAACACUUCAAAUUUUUAUUUACUAUAUUAUUUUCGUAAAUCAUGCUCUUAUGACUAAAGGCUUAUCUAAAAUCAAUAAUUUUUAUUUUAUGGAUUAUUUAUUUUUAUUUGUAUGUCUUUUAUGUCAUUUAUUAUUUUCUAAAAAAAUUUACCAAAAACACCUAACGUGUCCAUUACUCUAAGAACAUAUUCAAUUAAACUUUUUUCACAUAAUUUUCCUAAUAAUGUUUCUCAAUAAAAACAAAUGAUAGAAAAAAUCAAAUCAUGCUAAAUAAAACUAAAGAUUCAAUUAUAAUCAAAACAAAGGCUAUGAUUUUAACCUAAUAUCAAUCAUCAAUCAAAAUUCACAACAAUGUUCUCCUAAUCACAAACCACAUUAGCAUUGCUAUGACUAUCACAAACAUAUCUUCAUUCACACAAUUAAUCCUAAAUCAUAAUAAUAUCAUAGCAUGCUUUAAUUGCAGAUUGAAGGGAAGCUAGGCUGUUGUAAGAAAAAAUGUUGGUACUGUUCACGUGCUGCUGCUGCUGCUGCACGGCUGAGGCAAGAGAAACUGGCGUCACGGUGGAAUUCCAGAAGCUUUGCUGCUGCUGUGAUGGAAGAACAGCCUCCAGUUGCUGCUUCUAUGAGAAGAAAGAGCUCUACUGCUGCUGCUAAGACAAGAAAGGAAGGCUUCUGGUGCUCUGCCAACUGCUGCUGAGGCUGAUGCAACAGAUCUCCUGCUGCUGCUCUCGGUGCAGAGGAGAAGGAUGGGAGGAAACUGGUCUUGGAGCUUUUGCUACUCAGGAUGGAGUCAGCUGCUAACCAUUGUUGACGAAGCCAAUCUUCUGCUACUACUCAGGGUGCAGAGGAAGACUGGUGAGAGAAACUGUUGCUUCUGUUGCACAGCUGAGGAGAGAGCUGCCGGUGAAGCUGGUCACUUCCACUGCUACUCUCAGUUAAAGAUGGCGCUGCUGGAAUAAGGUGACGGUUAACAGCUGCUGUUGGAAAAUCCUUCAAUGCUGCUCUCGGAUGAAGAUAGGACACUGAAUGCUGAUGUUACUGUUGGAACGGUGGCUGCCAUGGCUGAGGAGUUGCUGAUUCAGGGGUGUUGUUUUUGGUUUUGAGAGAGUUUCGUAUUUUAGUGUAGUGUGGACUGUGGCUUAUCUAUUUAUACCACCCUCAUUCUUUCUAUAUUUUCUGGACUAGUCUGGAAAUUUCUCAAGCUUUCUAGACUACUUAAGGAUGUUCUCCUUUCUUCUAGAAUUUUCUAGAGUAUUUCCCUAUCUUUCAAAAAAAUUUAAAGAGUCUUUUUACUUGCGUCAAUUUUAUUUUUAUUUCUUUUCCUUUUGUAGUUUUAAUGGUAUAUAUUUUUUAACUAGGCCAGUCCUAUUUUUUUUAAUUUCAUUUUAAUCACAAAAAAAAUAUUUGAUUAAUUUUGCCAUUUUGUUUUGUAUUUAUUUUUUUUAAAAAAAUAUUAAUGCCAAAGCUACAACCGAAUUGGCUUAAAGAUUAUGAAUUGACCAAAAAUGGUCAAAUCACAUUAAAACAUAAUUUAUUUGAAUUUUUUUUUAAAAAAAUAUUAAAAAUAGAGUAAAAAUAAAUUAUUACAACUCUAACAAAUCAUUAUAAAAAAAGUAUAUAAAUCAGUUAUUAAACAAAUAUUAACCAUUGAAUCAGAUUAUAAUAUAAGAGAGAUUAGUUAUGACAGAAUAUUCGAAUAAGCAAAAAACAUUUUGCUUUAAAGAAAUAAGAUGAAAGAGAACUUUUAUAUUUCUAAAUUCAUGAUAAAACCAUUUGGUUUAGGAUACCAUAAAAUUAACAGGUGUUCAAAAUUUUACAUGUUUUACUAUAGUGAAAAUGCAGAUUUUACCAAAUGUAAAACUUGUAGCCAUGCUAGGUAUAAACCCAGAACUAGUAGGAAAAUAACUUUUGUCACACAUAGAAAACUUAGAUACUUUCCAACCACUUCUUGACAUAUUUUAUUAUUAUGUUAUUAAACAUAAUUGGUGUUAUUAUAUUGUGAUUUUACUGUCUUAAUAUGUUGGAUAGAUAAGGAAUACAAAAACACUAAGGAAAAAAAAUGCUUUUAUAUCGAUAGAAAUAUCGAUGGACUGUUAUAUACUGAUGGAAUUACCGGUGAACUAAGGUCAUGUUUGUUUCCCGGAAAGUAGUUUCUGGGAAACCAUUUUCCAAACUUUCCUGUGUUUGUUUGCCAUUAAAAAAGUUGGUCAACGGAAAACAAUUUCUGGUCAAUGGAAAACACUUUCUAGUUAACAAAAAAUAUUUCAGUCAAAGACAAAUUUGACUUGGUUUUCAGGAAAGUGUUUUCCCUUAUUUGUGUUUGUUUUCUGGAAAGUGGUUUCCAGGAAAUCACUUUCCAAACUUUCUUGUGUUUGUUUGCCAUUAGGAAAGUUGGUCAACGGAAAACACUUUCCAGUAAAAGGAAAAUUUGACUUGGUUUUCAUGAAAGUGUUUUCCUGCAAAAUUUGGGGGGAAAACACUUUCCGGAAGUUGUGAAAAAUUUAGAAAUGUCAUUAUUUAUUGAUUAUAUCAAAUUUGAUCCUCAAACUUUUGAUUGCUAUAUAUAUUUUGUUUUGAAUAUUUAUUUUUCAAUUUCAUCUCUUAAAAUUUUAUUUUUAUAUUAACUUUGGUCCUUAUUUUUAUAAUUGCUAUUUGCUUUUUCCUUAUCAUUUUUUUAUUAAAAAUUUUUAUCUAUCAAAUUUGGUACUCAUUCUUUUGAUUGUUACUUAUUUUAUUUGAAAUAAUUUAUGAAAUGUUGAUUAUUAUUAUUUUAAUUUUUUCAUCUUUCAUUUUUUUUAAUUUUUUAGAUUUGAUCUCUAUUAUUUUGAUUAUUAUUUAUUUAAUUUGAGAUAAAUUAUGAAAUUAUAUUUUUUUUUCAAUUUCAUUCUCAUUCAACUUUUUAAUUUGUAAGAUUUGUUCCUUAUUAUUUUAAUAAACUUGAGAAAAAUAAAAUAUUAAUAAGUUAUUUUCCAGCUCAUUUUCCAUGACAUAACCAAAUACUGGAAAGUGUUUUCCAACUUAUUUUUCAUUACAUUACCAAACAUCAGAAAAUGCUUUCUCGGAAUUCACUUUCCAAAAGAAAACUACUUUCCAACAAACAAACGGGGCCUAAAUCCAUUGGAGAGUUCCAGAGAGUUGAAAAAAAUUACACAACUUUGCCACUGAAAAUUAGAGUCAUUAAAGGAAUUACUAACAGAAUGAAAUGUCAUUUGAAAAUUUGUUUAGGGGGGUUUGGAAAACUUUAGAGGGUUCUCAAGAAAUUUCAAUGUAAAUUACCACCAGAAUUACCAACAAACUGUAAAAAAAUAUUUAAUAUUUAAUUAUUCAUCGAUAAUUUCAUCGGUGAAAAAACUUAAAAAUAAAAUACCAAAAUACUUAAUUCUAGGAGAAAAAAAACCCCUUCUCUCUCCCCCUCAUUCCCUCUUCUUCCAUCCUUAUCUCUUCCUUAUGUCUAUAACUUUUCUCUUCUCUACCUGUCCUUUCCUCUCUUCUUUACCUCUACUUUCAAAUAAGUCUUCCCUUUAUCAUCCUCCUACUCUUUCAUUUUUUUUUUAUUGAUAGAUCUAUUUCAUUUUUUUAAUUAAUUUUUUGCACCAAUUUCUUUAAUGAGUUGAAGUUUUGAAGUACCGAUAAUAGCUCAUGGUUAACACGCGCCGACACUGUUUUGAGGUACUUGUUCCAACAAUUUCUAGUCAUCCCCAAUAACAUUAAACAUCAAUUCAUCACCUCAUUUUCUAUGUUGAAGUUUAUGGCUUUCAUUUCGAUAAAGUUUGAAACUUUAUCAGUUUCUAUCAAUGAUUUUGUUAGUUUUUGUUGUUAAAAUAAGAAUUGAACUUUAUAGUUACUGGGUUACAUUUUCUUGAAGUGGUUUUGCUCUUACAAUUUUGUUGUUUUUUUUUUUAUGGUCCUUUUAAUUUUUGCAUUGAUUCUUUAUAAAGCUAUAUUGUGUUGGGAUAGUAAUUAGGUAGUGCUUUCAUGUUCUACAUUUAUUGGUUGUUAGGUAUUAGUUAAGAUAUUUAAAACCAAUGAUAAAUUGGAUAACAAUGUUAUAUCCACUUAACUAGAAACACAAAAGCUAAUAAAAAGUUUCAUUUAAUCAUGAUAGAAUAGAAGAAAUAACAUAUAACUAACCUCAUUUAGUUUGGACCAAUACAUAAAUUAGAUAAUAGUCAUAGGUAAAAUCAAUUGGUUUGCGACAUAAGUUAUUGAUGUGUAUUUACAGGUUUUAAAAUCUUGGGUAGGCUCUCGUAUAAGUGGGGUGCUACUAAAAUUUCUUUAAAAUAUGAUAUAAUAAUAAUGUUGUUAUUUGUUUUAUCAUAUUUGUCUAGAUGACGAAGAGAAGCUUCAUAAAUACAAAUAUGGACAAACGCGUUAUUAGUUCUUCUAGUAGCGCUUAUGAUGAGCAUAAGCCAUUAAGUGCCAACCAUGACAAGACACCGCAUGCAUAGACACUCACUCUUGACACUAGCUCGUAAAUGCAAGCGUGACUUCGAGAGGGGGUGUCUUUUUUCAGAAAAAUGUAUACACUGAGAAGUAUAUUACUCAAUGGAAGCUCGACCAGAACAUGUAAAUUUAUUUUCCUUUCCUAUAUAAAAAAAACAAAAAAAAAAUAGAUAAAGUGUGAAUAAUUAAUUUAAAUGAAUGAAUGAAAAUCCAGGUUUACAAACGUUGAGGCAAUUCACAUGACAAUAUCGGUGAUGAAAUCAUUGAUGGAAGUGAAUUUGUUUCAAUAAAGUGAGGUUUUCAAAAAUCCUGAAUGAAAGCCUAUGAUUGAUAUUUGGUUUAAAUUGUUCAAGAUUAGUAUACACAUAAACAAUUAUUUUUUAAUAUUUAAUUCGGUUAGUUUUUUAUAAACUAAUUAUUUUAUGAAAUUGACAUGUGAAGAGAAAUUUUAUUGUGACGAGGCUGAAAACAGUGUGGCUAUGAAAGUAUAGGAGAAUCACAACACUAUUAGGUAAGAUUGAAUUCAAAUUGUGAUGUUUUUUUAAAAAAUAUUAACAUUUUAUUUUUCAUUAUCUUAUUCAAUUUUCUUUUCUAUGAACCUGAUUGCGUGAUUUUUUAUAUGAAUCCUAAAAAAAAAAAAAAAAAAUAAUACAAAUAUAAAGGUUUUUCAGGCUUGGAAGAUAUUGUUUUACGAGGGAUUUCAAACCUCUACACGUCUCGAAGGGUAUCUAGGACACUUAUAUCCAAUAUGUGACAUCGACGUAUUUUUUAAGGCAAUCACAAUCCAAUUCAGAGAGCCAAACUAAGAGGAUUGAUGGUUUCAUGACCAUGCACACUAGCAGAUCUAUUUUAUUCAUUUUACAUGCAAAGCAGAUGACAGGAUUUUGUUUUAUAUGAUAUUUAAAAAAUUGUUAUAUUAUAUAAAAAUAUUUAACUAAUAGUAGCUUUAUUUUUUUGUGAAGACCUAUAUGUAGAAGGAGGACAGACAACAACGGGUGUAGCAGCUAGUCAAUAGUCGAGCCUAGACGUUCAUUGUGAGUUGGAUUUGACAUUUUUUUAAAAGUAUUUUUUUUAUAUAUUUGAUGACUUGUUUUUUUUUUCAAGACACAUAUAACAUCCGAUUCCUUGAAAGAUGCAUGAACGAUCUUUCAACCCAUCUAGAAUUCAAUCCGAAUUUAUGGUUGGAGGUUGGAUCUAAUGCUAGACUUGAUAGAAAUUGAGUUUAUGAUAUCUCUAACACAACAUUUGAGAAUAUACAAGCUAGAUAUAGUGUCUUGAUCAUUCAGACCACGCAAUUCAAAUCGACCAAUCAAUCACUGUCAUUAAUGUGAUCGUACGAGAACACGUUCAAGUUGAGAUGACCUAACUUAGGGCUAAAACGGCCGAACUGAGGGAUAAAAUGAAUGUCUUUGAGCAUUUAUUGGCAGCUUUCACUGGUACAUGUACUCCAUCUUGUCACCGUGCUAGUUUUGUUAAAGAUUUGUCUCUGCCUUCUCCAUUAACUUUUAUCCACUAGAUAAAUAAAUUAUAUUUAAUAUUAUUUUUUAAAUUAAUAAUAAAAAUUUGAUUUUAUAUUUUUAUUUUUUAAUUGUAUUAUUUAUUUUAUUUAAAAAAACUAUUACAUAUAAUAUUGAUGGAAUGUAAAAUGCCAACGUAAUUACCAGUGGAUUAAGUCCCUUAGAGAGUUCUAGAUAGUUAAAAAAAUUACAAGACUUGUCAUUGUUAGAUGUAAUUCCUUGACGGAUUAGUUUCAUUGGUAAAAUACAUAUAAUUAUAUUUCUUCAGCGGAUUAAUUUCCUUCGUGAUUUGCCAUAAUCACCAAAGGAUUUACCAAUAUAAUUAUUGCUAGCAAUUUUUUUUUUUUGCCGCGAGAAAUCCAUAUAUAAAUUCAUCGAUGAUUAUAUUACCCGAUAAAAUAAAAAUCAUCAAUGAUAUUUUUUCUGAUGAUAUUACUUUGUAUGUGAUUAUGUUGGUAAUUGUACUUCUGACAUAAUCAGGCUUUACACUGCGACAAAAUAUUUUAUUGGUGUUUUGCUAUUUUCUAGUGGUGAAAUAUAGAUAUUGAAAAAUAAACAAUUAAGAACUAUGUAAUUUUAAUUGCAAAAAAGGAUAGGAGAUAUAUACAUUUGGUGUUGUCUUGGUUCAAAUUAUUUGGACAAAAAAGAAAGCAGAAUACAUUGGCCUUGUCUUGGUUCAAAUUUCUGCAUAAAAACUAAUCUACAACUUUGGACAAUUAUAGUAAGAUAUUGUAAGACUUAGUAUUAAAUCUAAAAUUUGUUUUCAAACUUAGUAUAAAACUCUAAAAUGUGUAACAUAAGAGUCUUAUUUUACUUUAUAAUUUUUUUACAUGGAGUUUAAAACUUGAAAUUUAUACUAAUAGAUUUCAUAUUCAAAUUUUGAAAGUGGCAGAGAGGAAAAUCCAAUUCAAUAUUCAACAAGAAAAUAAAAAAAGAGUUUACUUUUAUUUGAAAGAAAUAACAAUAAUAAUAUAUGAAAGAAUAAUUAAUUAUAACUUUAGCAUGUUCUAAGAAAGAGCUAAUUUUAUUUUAUUUUUAUGAAAUAUGAGAGAUAUAUUAAGUAGUUGGUAUAGUUAUUAAGUACAUGGCUUAAUAGAGACAUAAAAACAAAGUCAAAUGAGUCAUAAAACUUACUUAUUGAUGGGUGAAUGUGUUUUAUAUAUGUUAUUAUUUUUUACCUAAAAUUCAUGUUUAAAAUGACCAAAUGGAGGGUAAUAACAAUGUAUUUUUAGGCUUAACUACAUGUUGAAUCCACGUACAUAUGAGUUUGAUGAAUUGUUAAAACCAAUAUCCCUAAAAUCAACUACACACUAAGCUCAAGUUGCCAGAGAUGAUAUCAUAAGGCUAAGCAUCUCGCCAAGCCCAACCGAAUAUAGAACUGAUAAUCUUUUUAUGUAUCUUAUUGGUCCACAAAACUCUACUUGUUUUUUAUCAUAAACCUUAAUAUAAAAUUUUAAAGUCAAUGAUACCCAUCUCUAUACACCUUCUAGGUAUAUAAAAGUCUUCAAAAUGAUUUUGAACUUAUCCUUGAUUCAUAAUAUGUAAAGAAUAUUUGUCAUUCAUUAAUAUAUAUAUCAGAAGUAUUUUCCCUCAUUAAUUCUAUUAAGGUAAGAUAAUACUUUAUUUUUUUUUCUAUUUAUAAAAAGUUAAAACUCAUGGACUUUAAAAAUACUAUGAAUCUUUUAAAAAAAGUUCACAAUAUCUUUAUUCUCAAUAUUCUUAGCAUAUAUAUUUUAAUAGUCUAUCUAUUUAAAAUAUUUUUAUUAUUUCUAUAAAAAAAAAAUACUUACUUUAGUAUUAAAGAAUUCUCAAAUCUACUACAUAAGGUUUUUUACAGGUACCAGCCAUGUUAAUUUACCAGGCACUAGCUAUGAGUUAACUUGGCAAGAGAGGGUGAAUUGAAUCACUAAAAUUAUAAAAUUAAUCAAUUAUUUAUUAUAUAAAUCUUAUUUCUAAAUAAAUUAUCUGAUCUUUUUGUAAUCUCAUCACUUACAUAAUAACGUUUCUCAAACAAAAUCAAAUAUUAAAAAUUAUGUAAUAAAAAAGUUAUAGCUAUACAAUUAAAAUAGCUUCUCUAAAAAGUCUUUCUUUAGCCAAAUAAAAUGAUAGAGAAGAUUAGCAUAGCAUUGCGAAAGGAUGACAUGAUCAAAACGGGAAAUGGUCCAAGAAAGGGUUCAUUAUUGAGAUUUUGAUAUGUCUAAGGAAGUAGUUGAUUGAAUAUAAAAUCGAUCGGGACAAAUAACAAUUAAUUAAUUAACACAAAGGAGGGUUUCAUUCAAAAUGAACAGAAAGGCAGGAAGCAAAUAUUAAUUAAUUGUUGAUGGUGGACUAUAUAUAAAGAUAUAAAACAAAAAGUCAAAUGUAUUAUAUAUCUUUAUAUAUAGUCCACCAUCAACCAUUUAUAUAUAUAUUCUUGACUUCUAAUCCCAUGACCUUGACCAAUUGACCUUAUCUGUACGUAAACUAUAGCCAAUGAGUGAUUGACAAGUGGAAACAAAAUCUGGGGAGCCAAAAAGAUAAACUAAAGGUUACAAGAAAAAAAAUAUAUAGAGAGAGACAUCGUAGACGCGUGUAAUGUCAAUUUUCGACUAGAGCUACCCCUCAAUUCUCUCCUAAAAAGGGUUUAAUGGCCUUCGGUAGGGGUAAUAUAUAUAUAUAUAUAUAUAUAUAUAUAUAUAUAUAUAUAUAUAUAUAUAUAUAUAAUGUUGAUAUCCGGAUCAACUUGUGCAUACCUUUACUAAUCCCAUAAAUCCUAAAAUUAACAACUAUAUAAACUUUUAAUAACUAUUAUAUUAGCAAUCAUAGGGCUCGAACUUGAGACUACAGAAAAAAACAAACUUCUUACUUUCAAGUUUUUAUUACUAGACCACCUACUAGAUGAUUAGUCCUUACGAGUAAUAUUUUAGAUGUGGAGGAUAGGGAGAACUUGGCAGUGUUCAGUAACAUGAAAUGGGAGUUUUUUUUAUUAUUUAUUUAAUUUUUCUUUCAAUAUGUUUAUUUGUCAAAAAAAAAAAAAAAACUUGAAGAUUAUAGUUGUUUUUCAUAAAAAAAGUCAAAACCAUAAUUUAUACUGAUCAUCUAUUUUUGUUUUUGUGGUAAACUAAUGGUAAGAUAUUUAUUUUGCAAUAAAUCAAGCUAAAAAAAACAUGUAAUUUUAUAGAAAUUACGAUUCCCAUCCAGACAAGAUUUCUCCAAGAAAUAUCGGCCGGGGUACCAAAGAAAAGUCAAAUUAAUUAACUCUAAUUUUGCCACACACUCUACCAUGGCAAUUAGAUUAAUUUUCUAGCUAGACUUGCGUGUUUUCAUGGAAGAUUUCAAAAAUAUAUGAACAUUGAAUAUGAACAUUGAGAGAAAAGGUCGUGAAAACAAUGGGAAGGAAAUUAAAACGUACUUAAAUGUUUGACCCAGAAAACAUUGAGAGAGGAAUGCAAUGUGAACAUUGAAUAUGCUUUCUAUCCUCAAAUAUGGGGCUUUGUAUCCUUAAAUAUGGGGUUUUAGAGAAGACAUGGCGAUAUUUGAAGUCGGCAAGAUGAAAAAAGAAUAAAAAAAAAGGACUUCUAGCAAGCUUAGAGGCUAUGUGUGUGUGUGUGUGUGUGAAGCCAAUAUUGACUUCACUCUAAUUUCACUCAAUCCUCGGCAGCUAUAGGAACUAGUUGGCCUCUGGCCUCCAGGUCGGCCAGAGAAGGAAGAUGUGGAGGGUUAAAAAAAACAAAAAACAAAAAACAAAAAAUAAAAGGAGAAGAAGAACCACUCACAUAUCAUAAGGAUCAUACUUUUUAUUUUAUUCAUGAAUAUGGAUUUUCUUGUGUUAGGAACCGGCCGGCUAUACCAAAAUUUGAAGUUGAACAUUUCAAUUACCCUGAACAUUUAUUUAAUUAUAUAAAAACGUUGAUAUUGUAUUAAUUUAUUUUUAGUUAGAAAGGAAAUGUUCAAAACUCAAGACUUCUUGAAGAAAACGAUGAUAUUAGACUUCUUGAAAUUAACCCAUCAUGUAUUUUCUUCUUGGUUGCUUCUUCUUUUUCUUAUCAAUUUGUUUUGAAAAUGCACUUCACAGCCUCAAAAUUCAAUCCAUUACGAAUUCUGUCAACUGUUUAGCAAAUAGGAGUUUCUCCUUUUCUUUUAUUUUCUUUUUCACGAAAAAAGGAGCCUGUCUCCACAUGGUUGAAGUUUAUUAUUCGUUUAAAUAGAGAGGCAUUAUUUUCAUUUUUCUAAUAAUUAAUUAACCAUAAGUCUUGCGACACACACCGUGGCGGUUGACGAAUCUCCCUCCUAAGUAUAUUGAAAAGAUGUUUUGAAUUUAAUUAUAAGAUUCAAGAGUUGUCAUAUAAUAUUAUGGUCACUAAAAAACUUAUUAGUCUACAAGAAUCCGAAUAAAAAACUGGUUGUGCAAAGAGAAAACACAUCACCUCAGUACAUCCUAUCUAAUAAGUUGCAUUGUUAUUUAAUUGUAUAGCCGGCCGGUAAUUGAAAUGUUCAACUUAUCUUCAAUGUUUUUAAUAUUUUGAUAAGUUGGAUUGUUAUUUGAUUGUUAUUUUAAAUCGUGUUUUUGUCCAUUGGUCUUAUCUAAAGUUCAAGGUAAGUUUUCUUUCAUGAGAAAGUCUCUAUUUUAUUGGGUUAAAUCUUAAUCAUUCAAGGGACCAGACUUAUUUAUUUCAUGGAUAUAGUUAAGUCCUAGCAUUCUGAAUGACAAACUAAUUAUAAUGGUAUUUUUUUUGUAUUUUGGCUAAACCCUAAGGAUAAUCAUAAACCGGUUACGAUAUCUAUUUUGUAUAUUUUUUUAAGAUGAUAAAAAUAAUUUUAUCUUUCUUUAGAAAAUAUGCGUGAAAAACUUUUAAAAUUUGAUGUAUGCUCAAAGACAAAACAUAUUUUUUUGUGCUUUUUGGAAAGAGGAAAUUAAUUAAUUUUUUUAUUUUUUAAAAAAAUUCAAAGAAAACCAAGUAUUUUUAAUACCAAGUUUGUAUCUUAUAAUGUAAGUCUACAUCUUGACUUAUUUAAAGUAUAAUUAAGUCAUUUUCACUUAAUUAAAUUCUUUAAUUUGACCCAAAUUAAUUCGUAGACAUAAUUAAACUUUUAAUUUGGCUCUUGACUAAAUCAAAUUGGCAUGUUAAAAAUUUAAUUAUAUCAUUGGGAUUAAUUUUUAUGUAGAUUCGUUUAAUAAUUAUUUAAUUUGACAUUGAAUUCGCAUUGUCUCUUCAAUCUUGGAUACAAUGAGGUAUGAUUAUGCUUCUAAUUCCAUUAAAAAUCACAGCUUGAUUCUUCUAUACAUAUGAAAUCCUCGUCAGCUUGCUUUUUCUAAACUGUUAGUCUUCUUGUUAUUAUUAUUUAAAGUAUUUUGGUGGAUUAAUCCAAAAUAGAUUAUAACAAUAAGAACAAAAAAAAAACCUUGGUUGAUGUAUGAAGGGUGUAAAAUAUAUCUAAAUUAAAAAUAGAGAAGGCAAAAUAUAAUAUUCAAAUUAUUAAAUAUAAAUAUAAAUGUAUUUUAAGUUUUUGAAUUGAGAUUUUAUUUUUAAAAUAAUAUAAGAGCCUUUAAUUUUGAAUUAAGGAUGGGAUAUCAUGAAUUUAAAUCGUAUCAUUCUUACUCGUAAUCAUAAAUUCAAACGGUAUCAUUCUUGUCCUCUCAUAACUGAGAUAUGAGUCUAUCUGUACGUUAAAACGAAGAUGCAAAGAUAUAAUAUUUUUUAAACAUAUUUAUAUUUAUAAAUUCAUGUGUAGUUUAAGCUCUUGUGGUGAACAGGAUGCAAGACAUAAUAUUCUUCCACGUAUUUAUGAUAUUUGUUAAUUUUUCGUGAUAUUUAAUAGGGAUUAAGGAGUCAAGAAGAGACCCCUUUAAUUAGAAUACUUGGAUAUAUAUUAAAUAACACAUGAGAUUUAAUUUGUUAUUUAUAUUUAUAUAUAGUACACCAUCAACAACUAAAUAAAAUUUGCUUACUGCCUUUUUGUACAUGUUGAAUGACACCCUCCUUUGAAAUAAUUAAUUAUAACACACGCAAGAUAUGUAUAAUAUUGCUAUUUUAGGUUUUAUUAAAAGAUAAAUAGUAGUCAAAUGAAGAAUAUCCAUAUAUAUAAAUACUUAAAAUUUAAUAAAUAAGAUAUAUAUAUAUAUAUAUAUAUUCAAAGCUUGAUAAAUAAAAUAUGAAUAUUUAUUUUUUAAUUUAUAAUUAAGUGAUAAACAUUAUAUAAAUAAAUAAAAAUUCAAAGAUACUCAUUGUAUUCAACAAAUUAACCCCUUUAGAAUAUUAGGACUUUUAUUUAUAUAUUUAUAUAUCUUUAUGUUUUUAAAAUGUAGUUGCGGUUUUUUUUUAAAAGUAUUUUUUAUGUUGAAAUGCAUCAAAAUAAUUUUUUUAUUUUAAAAAAUUAUUUUUACUAUCAAUGCAUUAAAACGAUACAAAAUAUAUAAAAUUAAAUUAAAUUUUAACAAAAAAAUAUUAUAUUUUUAUGGAAUGCCGCCGCGUUCCCAAACAGUGAUAUAUAAAGUCCACCAUCAACAAUUAAUUAGAAUUUGCUUCCUGCGCCUUUUUGUUCAUGUUGAAUGACACCCUUCUUUGUAUUAAUUAAUUGUUAUUACUUUGCCCCGAUCGAUUUUAUAUUCAUGCAACCUUCACAGAUCUUCCUUAACACAUAUCAACAUCCCUGCGCAGAGCUGAGCUAAUCUUCUUUGUAUUGUUUUAUUUGGCUCUUAUACAAGCUGUUUUAGCUAUAUGGUUAUACCUUUUUUAUUAUAAAGUUUUUUUUUUUUUGAGAAAAAAACCUUGUUGAGUAUACAUAGAAUACCUUAUAUUAAUAAUGAGAAAAACCUUGUUGAGUAUACAUAGAAUAAGUUAACAGUAUAAAACACAAGCACAAUGUAGCCAUGGAAAAAAAAUCAUAACAUAAAAAUAUGUAAUACCUUAUAUUAUAAAGUAUUUUUUUUUUUUUGAGAAAAAAACCUUGUUGAGUAUACAUAGAAUACCUUAUAUUAAUAAUGAGAAAAACCUUGUUGAGUAUACAUAGAAUAAGUUAACAGUAUAAAACACAAGCACAAUGUAGCCAUGGAAAAAAAAAUCAUAAACAUAAAAAUAUGUAAAUACCUUAUAUUAAUAAUGAGAAAAACCUUGUUGAGUCAACAGUAUAAAACAAAAGCACAGAGUAGCUAUGAAAAAGAAAAAACAUGAUGUCAAAUUAGAAAUGAUGUCACUGUUGAAAUUCUAAAAAAAAAAAAGUCUUUCCAAUAGCAAUCAAAGGACUGCAAUAAUGUGAAAAUAUAUAAGAUGAAAUAACCUAAUAUUAUUUAUAAUCUUCAAUGAAUAUUAAUGAUUUGAAUUAUGAUUUGGUGGCAUACUAUAAGAAAUUUGUUUUAAUUGCAAUGGAUGAAUCAUGUCAGUUUAAUAGUAUGAUUGUGAUUGUUUUUUAAAAUGUUUUUCAUUUAAAAAUAUAUUAAAAUAUUUUUUUAUUUUUAAAAAAUUAUUUUUGAUAUCAGCGCAUCAAAAUAAUUUAAAAACACAAAAAAUAUAUUAAUCUAAAAUUAAAAAAAUAAAAAUAAAAUAAUUUUUUUAAAAUAUAAAAACAAACAAAUAAAAUUAUUCGAAGUCCUGUUAUAUUUCUCCAGCCAUAUUCAUGGUAAGAAGAUAUUUUAUUUUUAUAUUUUAAAAGUGAUUUUAAAAUAAAAUAUUUUUUUUAUAUUUUAUUUUAAAUUAAUAUUUUUUAUACUUUUAGAUCAUUUUAAUAUGUUAAUAUAAAAAAUAAUUUUUUAAAUAUAAAAUAUAUAUAACUUUAAUAUACUUUCAAAUAAAAAGUACUUUAAUAUUAUCAUUAUAAAAAUCUUGAAGACACCCAUGAUAUUUGCUAGCUAAACUACACAACUAGUACAAGCUGCCAAAAGCCAAAAACCUACCGAUUAGUUUAGCUACCUCAUAGUUUUAUCCUCGCAGUUCAUGCGUAUCGUCUCUUGAAGAUAAAGGUAGUAUACGAAGUUGUAAUAAGAAUAAUUUUUAAAAUGAUUUUUUAUUUAAAAAUAUAUUAAAAUAAUAUUUUUUUUAUUUUUUAAAAUUUAUUUUAAUCUCAAUAAUUUAAAUAAUAUAAAAUCAUAAAACAAAAAACUAAAUAGUUAUCAAAAUCUGCCGGCAAUGAAAAUAGUAGCUUCUAGGAGUGUCAAAAAAUAAAAAAUGGAAUCAUUUAGUAGAUGAUAAAUAAUAAAAGUUUAAAAUUAAAAGGUUGCUUCGCUAAUAAUUUUAGAUUCGAGCUUUAUAAUUAUUAAUAUUAAUAGCUAUUAGAGAGCUAUCUAAUUAUUAAAUUUAAUACUUAUAAAAAUUAAUGAAAAUACAUGUAAAUUAACGUGAAGAUCUCCCUAUAAUAAUAAAAAAAUAAAAUAAAAGGAGUGUCGGACUGGGAAUCAAGCCCAAUGAAAUUCAAGCAAAAAGUCGUAAAACAUAAAUUGAAAACCGGCGUCCAAUCAUUUCAAAUCCGCGUCUGCUUCCCUUCUACUUUUUUGAGUCAAAUAGAAGAAGACCCAAAAAGAUAAUAUGAAAAUAAUUUUGCACCUCUCUCUCUCUCUCUCUUUUCCUUUCAUUUCACUGGUGACGAAUUAAAUACAAAAUAUUUUCGGAUCAGUUUAAUUUCACUCAUUGAAAUUGAGUUGUUCUAACUACUUUUUUUUAUAUUGCGUCUUCAAUUAUGUAAGGGGUGCCUUUUAAAAAUAUAUUUGUUUUAAAUUAAUAUUUUUUAAAUGUUUUUAAUUAUUUUAACACACUGAUACAAAAAAAUAUUGUAAUACAUGUCUGAACGUUUUUUAUAUUUAUAAUUACAAAUAACCUUCUAAUUACCUAUAUAUUUAUCAGAGUAGGAAUCUAGCAUUCAACCCUCGAUUUUCCCAUUGAACAAAUGCCAGAAUUGAUCUCGGAAUCAUCAUCAUCAUCAUCAUUUAGUUCUUGUAUUAUUGAGUGAACUUAGGAUCGAUACAAGGCCAUUUUCAAUGUAAUCACAGCAGAGCGAGAGCCAUUAGUUCUUACAAGUAUUGUCAUAAACUUAUUAAUAAGAAAAUGAAAGAACAUGGAAAUAAAGUUAGGGGGGCGAGGAGCUCAAAGUCCACCAUUAAGAUACUGUUUGCCAUUGCGUUUGUAUCUGUAUUUUAUUAAUUUUAAUUAUUAAUUUUUUGUUAAAAUUGAAUGUGGUUUGUAUUUUUUGGAUCGUUUUGAUGUGCUGAUGUCAAAAAUAAUUUUUAAAAAAUAAAAAAUAUCAUUAAUAUGUAUUUUGACAUGAAAAACUAUUUAAAAAAUAAUCAAUAUCACACUUGUAAAACACGCUGUAGAGCUUCUCUAAGUUCAGAAAAUUCCAAGUUGAAUUGGCUUCUUCAAUUCAUUACCUGGGCCACAGUCCUUGACGUCGACAUGACACAAAAGAAUUCAAAAAUAUAUUCAACUUGUGAGGACGAAAACCAUGACUUUCCCACUUUUUUGUCUCCUUGUUUAUCACCUGCUUCUUCCUGGAACUUUCCUUACAAUCCAAGCCAUCGAUUGACAAGCCAACUUUUUCUAUAAAUAUUUGAUCAUUCUUGCGUGUUUCUCUCAUUCACUUGACCAAAUUCACACCACACUCGCUUGCCAGCUAGCUUGCUAGCUAGCUAGUUGUCUUGUGUCGAAUUCUAAUUUCUCCUGCACUAAGUUUUGUAUAGAUAUACUUAGAGCUAGCUUCUUCAAGAGAGAGAUUCAUAACUAAUUCAUCAAUGGACUCAUCAUGGGUGAACACUUCUCUUGAUCUCAACAUCAAUCCCUUCAAGCAUGUCAAUGAAAUCACUCAAGUUCAGGUGAGUUCUUCUUCUUCUUCUUUUUUCAUACAGUAUAUAUAUAUUUAAAGGAUAUCCUUAUUGGAUAUUCAGCUCUCAGUUCUUCGAUCUUUCCCGGUUUUUCUUGGUCUUGAUAUAUUAUUGUCAUGUGUAUAUAUGCGCGCUAAAAGGAUUUAUCACUCUGUUUUGAAUCAGAAAAUAAAAAAAUUCGAGGGAUAUUCUACCUGGGUUGAACAGAAAUUACAGGUUAAAAAUGAGGUCAGUAGUUUCUAUCACUUUUGCUUCUGGAUUACUGUCUUCUGAUCUUCCAUCCUCCAAGCAAGUAUACUUAAUCAGAAACUUUUUUUUGAUCAUUCUCAGGAUGGUGUUCGUGUUCUUGUUGAAGAGUUGACUCGGAUAAGUAGUGAGAACAAGAAGUUGACAGAGAUGCUUGGUGUUGUAUGCGAUAACUAUAUGGGUUUGCAAAAACAUCUAGCUGAUUUGGUGAGCAAGAAUUCUGUAAAAGAACUCGGUACACCAAUAUCAUCACGGAAGAGAAAGGCUGAGAGUGAAGAUUAUAGCAUCGUGAUUAAUGGAAUCAGUGGAGGAAAUGCAGAGAGCAGUUCUAUUGAUGAAGAGUCAAGUAAAAGGCCAAAGGAGAGUCUGAAAUCAAAGAUUUCAAGGACUUAUUUUAGGACUAGUGAAUCCGAUUCAAGCUUGGUAAGUUCCUUGAUCAAUCAACAUCUUGUUGCUAAUGAUGUGGUUAAUUUUGUGUAAAAAUCAAGAUGUCUAUUAGGGCUUUAAUUAACCUUCCUUCUAAUAUAAAUAAACUUGGUUUAUGUUUAGGUUGUGAAGGAUGGAUAUCAAUGGAGAAAAUAUGGCCAAAAGGUGACCAGAGACAAUCCUUCUCCUAGGGCUUACUUCAAGUGCUCAUUUGCCCCAAGUUGCCCUGUCAAGAAGAAGGUAAUUAUAUAUAAUUAACACAAUACAGUGCUUUUACCUCCUCUUCAAUUUGCUUUCUAUUAUGAUUAUUGCUCAUAAUUAUAGGGAUAUUUGAGAUUUCUUACGAGAGAUUUUACCUGGUUUUUUCAGGUCCAAAGAAGUGCUGAAGACCCUUCUGUUUUGGUAGCAACUUAUGAAGGAGAGCACAACCACGCUAGCCACUCUCAACAUGAACCAUCACUAGGCUCGAGCCACGGUUCUAAUUUUGGUCCAAUUCCCACACAAUCACCGAUCAGAAGUCCAGCCCCUACUGUGACCCUUGAUUUGAUCCAAGUUGGAAGGCAUGGAGAUACUGCUACAAAGCCUGUUCAAGAAAUGGAAGUGCCUGCACUUCAAAAAAUUUUGGUCCAACAAAUGGCGUCUUCUUUGACAAGAGAUCCAAAUUUUACAGCUGCACUAGCAGCUGCUAUCUCUGGGAGAUACAACCAGACUCGGAUUGAGAAAUGGUGAAAUUACUUUAAAAAAAUUAGAAUUUUAUAUAGCACUUUGAAAUUUUAUAUAUAUGUGAGUGAUCGAUCGAUGUACGUACAUAUAUCAUAUGAGUUUGAAACUUAUAAUUAAUAUGAAAAAAAUAAAUAAAUCAUAAGAGUUUAUUUAAUUCUUCUUUAGUUUGCAAAAUGACUAAUUUCUAUAAUUACUUCUUCUCUAUUACUUUGAAACAGGAAUAAUCACUUAUAUCAUAUAUGACAGAAAAAGAAAGUUAGUAUAGGCAGUCUUCGUGGAUUAUUUAUUUUCUAAAGGGUAAAAGCUCGGUCAAAUGGCAUGCACUCAGUAAAAUAUUCAUUUCCAAGGUAGUACCAUGUAAAAGUUUAGAUAUAUGUUAAUUUUAUAGUAUUGUAGGUUAAGGAGUUUUAUUAUAGAUUUAAGAAUAUAAAAUUCUUUUUCAGUCUAUUUCUUUUAAGUAAAGUGCUUCUCGCUUAUUAAAUGAUUUUUUCGUAACCGACCUCACUUAACCUGUGAUCUAACUUGAUAGUGAGCAUAUAUGCAACGAUCGAUAAUUUACUAUAAUUUAUACACUUAUCCCAUAAUGGUUUGUUACCGUUUUUCAAAAGAUAUAUAAGAAGAAGAAAAAAACCUGGUUGCGUCUACAUUUGGUUCUUCACCUACGAUUGAACAUUUAUUUUUAUAACCUUGAUUCAUUCUCAUCACAUUCAUAACUAUACUUAUAAGUAUUACUAUUAUCAUCUAUAACUUUAUGCAAUUUGAUGAAACUAGAUGUUGACUCAAUUAUCCUUUCUAUCAUGGUCCUGUAAGGAACAUAUAGUUCUCUAUGUACAAACCAAUACAAGUAUUUUUUUCAUUAAUCAUUUGUAUAAAAGAUGCAUUGUAACAACAUGUGGAUAAAAAAUAUAUAUAUUUUUACACCCUUACAUGGAUAUCCAAUACCGCCUUUACUAAUAUUUCUUGGAUUAGAUAGUGUGUAAUUAGUAAAACCCUUAAUCACAUUACAAUAAUCCAUCAUGUACACCCUUCGGCUAAAACUCUAUAUAUCCAAAAAUGAUCAUCCAUUAUUUAUAUCAAACUUGUAUAGAAUAUUGAUGACAACAUGUAUUAAUUAAUUAUGUGAACUAAAUAAAUUAGUUAACAUUGGUUUAACUCAAACUUAUUUAAUCUAUUUUAAUAAUACCCUUAAAUCAUUAUUAAUUUUCUACAAAAAAUCAAAUUUCUCCACAUUUAUUGAAAUGAUCAAUUUAACAAUAAAAUUGAAAAAAGAUGAAACGUACCUAUUAAAAAAAAGUCACUAUUUAGUUCAUUACAAAACACCCAGUCAUGAAAUCGAAAUCAAAUUACAAAAAAUAUAAUUAUUUUUUUAAUCUCAAACCAACUCUAACAUGUACAAAUCAUACAUUCAUACAACAAAUUUCUAAAGAAAUAAAGUUAUAAAACAAGUAAACACACAAAUAAACUACAUAUACUAUAUCAAAAUACCAUAAAAAUAAUAUUUAAAAAAUAAGUUAGAAUAAAAAAUAAAUAGUUUUGAUUACUUGAUGCGAGAAAUCCUAAAAAAAUUGAACCAAAACAAAGAUGUUGAUAGACUGAGUGUUUGGGUGAUUGGAUGUGUGGUGAUGUAAGUAUGAUUUGUGAUAAAAUAUGAAGGUUUGUUGUUAUUUUCAGAGAGAAGGAGGAGGAGGAAAUUGAAGAGGGGUUUGCUUGUCAUGUCAUAACUUAAAUCUUACCUAUGGAUUUAGGGACGGAUAUUAGCAACGGCUUUAUCUCAUCACUAAUAUCAUUUGUAAAAUGACAUGUCAUUUUUUUUUUUUUCAUUUAUUCUUUUCUCACUAUAAUUCCCUCGGUAUACACUGACAGACAAUUUUCAUUAGUAUAUACUAGGGGACAUAACGAUGGAAUAGUGUCGGUAAAGUCACUGCAACUUACCGACAGAAUUGUUUUCGUUUACAUUUUUUAAUUUUCUAGUAGUGACAACUAAUAUAAUCUUCUUAUAUGAUGAAAAUUAAAGGCAAAAAUAGCUUGUUUGUUUUAUCUUCAAUCCAUGUGUGAUUUGAUUUCAAGGGAUAUACCAUUUAUUUUAAGUUAUUAAUGAUGUUAUUAAAUAAAUGAAUGUAUGUUUAAAAAAUAUGUUACAGAAAGAUUGUUUAGAGUCUUGGAAACUAUGAGAUAAUCCAUUGAAAUAAUUCAAAGGUCACAAAAACAAAGGAGAUAAGUUAGAGAGUCAUUAAAAAUAGAAUUUCAAACAACUAACAUCUAUUUAAGUGAUUUCAAGAAGUAACAAUGAAUAAAAUAUACUAUAUUUUUUUGUUUGCGCUAGGCUGCAAAGACUGAGGGCCACUUUGCAAUAUUUCAAGGCUAGCACACCUUUUAAGAUGGAGGAGAGAGAAAGAGAAGGGAGAAAAAUUAUAGUCGGAGCUCUGUCGUGACCCAUAGGAUGACAUGCUACGGGCCACCGUAUAGAGGGUCGCGCGAGGCUUUGGACACCACCUCAAAAGGUAGUGAUCAACGACCACUAAAAGGCAUCGAACACACCUCUAGAAAGGUGUGAGUGCCUCCUACUUAUUGGCCCAUGCUAUGCAUGCGCCAAUGAUUUUUUUUAUUUAUCAAAAGACCAAAACACCCUUAAUCCCACAUGAUAAUUGCAAAAAAAAAAAAAAACAAACGAGGUCAAAAAAAUAAAAAAUACCCCUUGACCUUAGGCAAAAAAAAGUUGACCUCAAGGGCUAUUCAAUAAUUACACUGUAUAAAAAAUGUGAAAAUCCAGAAAUACCCCUUAGACAUUAGUUGUGUUUUUUUUUCAAGGGUAUUGGUGUAAUUACAUUGUGUAAUAAAAUGUGGAAAGACUACUUUACCCCCUGAGUGUGAGUUCAAUCAUUUGGUUUUUAAAGGGCAAAGUAGAAUUAAUUUUAUGUAUAAUAACUGAAUAUAAAAAUAGUGUUUGGUUAUUAUUUAAAGAAAAAAAUAGAGAUAACAAAAAUAAAUGGCACAAUAGAAACAUAAAUGUAGCUGUAUUUGGUAAUAGUAUACAAGACAAAGUAAAUUUCUCUAUGUUAUAUUUGGUUGAUGAGGGAACAAAAUAUAAAAAAAAUAUAUUUUAUCCUUAAUAUAUACUAUCACCAAACUUGAAAUAUUUAAAAUAAUAAAUAGAGAUCAUUAUUUUUACUUUAGUUUAAAUAUUUAAAAUAAUAAAUAGAGAUCAUUAUUUUUACUUUAGUUUAUAAUAAGUGUCGCACCCGACAUCGAGGCGGCCUUAAAAAAUUAAAUAUUGAAUUUUUGGGAAAGAACGGAUUUCUGGCAUCUUAUUCUUUGAUGGGGAAUGAUCUUGUUUAAGGACUUGCCACCUAGUAUUAUGGUCACUAGGAACCCUAACUGGUUAUAAGAGAUUAUAUGGUUCGAGACUAGUUACGUAAAAGAGAACAUAUUAUCACCCCUUAAACGUUUUGCCUGAGGCAAACUGCACUGAUGAUUUUGACUUAAAUUGUUAAAUAUGUAUUGGUUUAUGCUCUGAUGGUUUACUUGCAAUAUUCUUGACUCUGGCGUCAGUGAAUAAACAAAUAAAAAUAAAUUUAUUUUUACGCAUGCACAUAUUUUUUUUAUUUUUUCUAGCUAAAUAAAACAAAAUACAACAAAUAAAAAUAAUAUAAAUUUAAACCGGUAUUUUUAUUCCUGACUCUGGUGUUAGUGAAUAAACUAAUAAAUUUACAUUAUUUUUAUUCGUGCAUACACAUUUUUUUAUUUUUUAUUUAUUGUACUUUUCUAUUUUUUAUUUUUUUAUUUUUUUUAUUUUUUUAUUUUAGAGGCUGGGCUGACUCAGUUGGGUCACUGGUCUAGACCAGUGACCAAUGAAUUACAAUUCACUUGCUGCAGUAGCAAGUGAAUUAUAAUUCAUUGCUACUGUAGCAGUGAAUUGAAAUGCAAAGGGAACGGCACUUACCUCAGUGCAGGAAACGAAAGGGACGAAGACGAUGGUGAUGGCGAAGGCACGCUGGCUGGACAAUAACCUUCUGUUUCCCUUUUUGUUUUCUUUCUUUCUGAUCGUUCUUUGUUUCUCUGUUUCCCCUGGUUCUGUUUCUCUCCGUCUUUGUUCUUCUGCGUGUCUAUAUUCUUGUUCUCUCUGUCUCUGGUUUUUUUUAUUCGUUCCCAGUCUCUUUAUUUCCCCAGGUUUUAGUCUCUGUUCGGCUCUGUGGUUUGCCGAUUCUUUCCCUCAGUUUUGUUGUUUCGGUUCCUGCUCAGCCCCUUGUUUUUUCUUGUUUCAGUCCCCUGUGUUAUUCGUCUUCCAUAACAGACACACCAUAAUAUACACUGAAAACCAGUAGUGCACCACUGUAUAACAAACACUACACAAGUCUGUUACACUCACAUAUAUAUAGGCACCUACAUUGUACAUGCAAUCUGUUAGCCAUUCUGUUAGCAUAUUUGUUUGUUAGAGUAUAUAUAUACAUGUAUAAAGCAUUUAAUAAACAUGUCAUUCCACAACUCUGCAAGUUAUUAUGGUAUCAGAGCACUAAUUUUUCUUCCCUGCCUACUCUUUUGUUUUUCUUUUUUUUACUUCAAAUGAAGACCACCAUCCUUAACACCAAUGAUCACCACAGCACAUUGAUUACCAUCAAUGUAGCAACCCAAACUCCAGUCAAGCUUACCUCCACCAACUAUCUGGCUUGGAAACUUCAAUUUCAAACUCUUUUCAUCGGUUAUGAUCUUCAUGGCUUCAUUGAUGGCACCCAUCCUUGCCCUACAUCUCUUCUUCUAGAAACAACCACUCCUAACCCUACAUAUCCACUCUGGAUCCGUCAAGAUCAACUACUUCUCAAUGCGAUUCUUGGCUCCCUUUCACCUACCAUCAUGCCCUUCGUUGCUCAAGCACGUACCUCCAACGAAGCCUGGACAAUCUUGGCCAACACGUAUGCCAAACCAUCUUGUGGCAGAAUUAAGCAAGUCAAAAAUCAAUUCAAACACAUCAAAAAAGAGUCUAUGGGGGUCUCUGAGUUCCUUCAGACAAUUAGAGCUCAAGUUGAUGAGCUUGCCACUCUUGGCACCCCAGUUGAUGCUGAAGACCUCUCAGACCGAAUACUUGAGGGCCUUGGUGAUGACUAUAAAGAGCUGACCAAGGCGGUUCAAGCUCGUGAUAAUCCCAUCUCUUUUGAUGAGCUUCAUGAAAAACUCUUUAACUUCAAAGCCUCCCUCCAAUAUGUCAGCCACCCUGAUCAAUCUUACUUUCCUGCAUCAGCUCAUCUUGCCAACCGUCACUCUAUUAGUUAUCAUCAGUCCCCACACCCACAUUCUCCUAGCAGACAUACAGGCUGGCGUUCCCCUUCCAACAACAGCAGUAUCGAUUGGCACCCAUCAUUCUCCCCAAAUACUUGUUUUUCUACUCCUUCUCAGUCAAGCUCUUUCCCUUCACGUCCUGCACGUCCCCCUUCCAAACCCUAUUUUAGUUUUUGCCAAAUCUGUCAUAUACAAGGUCAUACAGCUAAGUAUUGUCCCUCCUUUAAACUAAUAUCAAUUAUCACUUCCUCUAACACUGGUUCCCAAGUGUCCACAUCCCCCUGGCACCCAACAGCACACCUUGCUACCACCUCUGCCACCACUCCACCUUGGCUGUUAGACAGCAGAGCUUCCCAUCAUCUUACCUCUGAAUCUGCACAACCUCUCUCUUCAUGCCCCAUAUCAAGGUUCUGAUGAUAUUAUGAUCAGAGAUGGCACGACCCUUCCUAUUACACACACUGGUUCUACCUUUGUUUCCAGCUCUAAUAUUCAUUUUUCCUUAACAAAUGUUCUAUGUGUACCUAGCAUUACAAAAAAUUUGAUUUCCAUUUCCAAAUUCUACAUAUCCAAUAAUACGUCUAUUGAAUUCUUACCAUACACUUUUUUUGUCAAGGAUCUUCACACCGGAGCAAUCCUUUUGACGGGUAAAGCUAAAGAUGGUGUUUAUGCAUGGCCAACUUCCACCCCUCUGAUUACCUUUUCCAGCGUCAAAACCACCUCCUCUACCUGGCAUCACAGAUUGGGCCAUCCUGCUCUCCCUAUCUUACAACAUGUCAUUUCUAAACAUGGUCUUGAUUUAUCUUCUUCCAGUUUAUCCAAGUUGUCUUGUGAUGCCUGCCAUUGCAAUAAGAGUCACAAACUUUCAUUUUCCACUUCCACCAUUACUUCCACUCGUCCGCUGCAGAUCAUUUUCUCUGAUGUAUGGACUUCCCCAAUUCUGUCUUUUGAUGGUUUUAAGUAUUAUGUCAUUUUUGUUGAUCAUUUCACUAAGCAUAUAUGGCUAUACCCUUUAAAACAAAAAUCACACGUAAAGGACAUCUUCAUUCGGUUCAAAGCCAUUACAGAGAAAUACUUCCAUCAACACAUUCAAACCCUAUACUCAGACAAUGGUGGUGAAUAUGUGGCCCUUACCUCUCUUCUUGCAUUUCAUGGCAUUUCUCAUCGCACCACCCCCCCACACACCUGAACACAAUGGUUUUUCUAAAAACAGACACAUCUAUAUCGUUGAGACAGCUCUCACUCUUCUAUCUCAUACGUCAAUUCCUUUAUGUCACUGGCCUUAUGCUUUUGCUACAGCUGUAUACUUGAUUAAUAGGAUGCCCACUUAAACACUAAAUCUAUCAUCUCCUUACGAACAAAUCUUUGCCUCUCCUCCCAAUUACUCCAAACUUAAAGUAUUUGGUUGUCUUUGCUAUCCUUGGCUUCGUCCCUACACCCAUCACAAACUAGAACCUCGUUUUAAAUCAUGUGUCUUCUUCGGAUACUCCCUCACUCAAAGUGCUUAUCUUUGUUAUGACCCUUCCACGUCCAAAGUUUUUAUGUCCGGACAUGUUCACUUCAUCGAGUCCAUAAUUUCCUUUACAUCCACUCUUCCACAAGCUGCCCGACCUGAAUCAACCACCAUAUCUACAUGGCUACCACCACCUAUCCUACUUAGCCCUGCCCCUUUCAUCAGUCCAUCAUCUUCUACAUUGUGUUCUCCCAAUCAACUUCACUGUGAAGCUCCUAUAGUACCACACACUACAUCACCUACAUCUCAUCAUGUUCCCCUCAUCCCACCCGCACCUUGUUCUCAUUAUUAUUCCACUCCUUCUCUGUUUCCAGUGUUCUUCCUCAUAUCUUUGCUCUGGUUUCUGGGUUGAUUUUUUCUCGUCAGCUCCCCCUUAUUGCUGAGCCCCCCUCUUUUAUGGCCUUCUCUGGCUUUAUAUAAAAGCCAGAAAAUGGCUUCAUGCCUCACGAUCGUAAGGCACGUUCAUUUCUAUUUUUUUUUCCAAAAAAACAAAGUGCCACCUUUGCAAUUAACCUCCUAGCACUGGAAAUAACAACCUAGGGAUAAUGGCCAGGAGACGUGGCCCUUAAUCGGAUUGAAUUGUUGUAGAUUUCCCUGUUGAACUAGCUUCAUCCGCGCAAGCGUAGGAGACGAUGAACAAUGCUUCCAAAACAGCGCUGUUGUGUCCUUGGGCAUGACUGUUUUUCAAUUUGGUCCCUAAAUAGUUUAAAAUGUAUCAAUUGGGUCCCUUAAUCAAUAAAUUUUUAAUUUUACCUUUGGAUUAAUUUCAAUUAAGUCCCUGAAUUUAUUAAUUAAUUAAAUCAAAGUUUAAUUAAGUCCACAAACUUAUUAAUUCUUCUAAUUUCAUUAAUUUAACUAAUCUGUAUUUUAACUAAAUUUCUAAACUUAUUAAUUCUUCAAUUUCUGAUCAAUUUACUCUCAAAUCUGAUAAUUUCAUCCAUGAACUUUGAAUUUGUGUUGUUUUAACCUCAUUCUCAAAUAUAUUUUUAUCCAUUCAUUUUGUAUUAUUUAUUCAAAAAUUGGGUUAUGACAAUAAGCAUUAAUAUUUCUUUAAUUAACUAAAAUGAUAAAUUCUUCAUUAAUCAAAAUCAUGUUAGAAAUAAAUUUUAUUCAGCAUAAAAAUUAUAAUUUAUUGAUAAAAAGAUAAUAUAAUUAAAUUAUAAUUUACUCGGUCAUUAAAUCAUUUCUUCAAAUAUAUUUAAUAAUAACAUAAAUAAUUAAAUCAAUCAUGUAUAAAAUAAAAUAUUUGCACUAGUACAAAGUAAAAAACUAACAUAGUUGAAAACGCAAGAUAAUGAUUCUAUCAUAUAUACAUAUUUUUUUGUAAUCAUUCAAUCCCUACCUCUUAAUCAUUUUUAGUUAAGAUUUAACAUAUUUCUUAUAAUUUUUAAUUUUCUAAUUUUUAGAUUGAAUUUUAAAAAUUAAGCUAAUUAAAAUAUUUUACGCAAAACAAACAUACUCUAAAUUGAUGUUUGUAUGUAUUUUUUAAUGUUUUUGAUAUGAUGCUAUUAUAUUAUUUUAAUAUAUUUUCAAUUAAAAAACACUCCACAUCACAAUACAAAACAUAUAUUUAGAGUGACAACUUAAUUUUUUAUUAUUAAAUUUGUCAAACUCAACCUAACUUAUAACUUGGUUCAAAAUUCAAGUUAGAUUAACUAAUUAAGGUUAAGUCGAAUCAAUCCAAAACAAUAUCAUUUCAAGAAAAAAACUAAUAUUAUUUAAAAAAAAAUCAAGUCCAGUUUCGAUAAUAUCAAUAACCCCGAGUCACAUCCCACCUAACUUAGUUUAAAAUUCAACCUAGGUUGGAAGUUGAUUCAACUCCCUAGGUGACGUGGAAUUCAGUAACACUACUGUAUGCACCCCUUGCCACGGCAUAAAAAGAAGCAAAGUAACAAACAAAUUAAAAGUGGUCUUAUGAUAGUACGAAGAGAGGUUAGUAGUACAAUAAGCAGACAAUGACAGGUGGUGGUGACGUGGUCCCUAUUAUUGUGGCCAUCACGACAUUACGCGUAAAAAGCGUGGGCACCCAUGACCGUUCCAGUUUACCGAGUCUUCUAGGCUUCCUGUCUACUUCAUGCCCCUUCUCGCACGUUUCCUUUUGUUACCGUACUGGUUUCUUCAAUAAUUUUUUAUUUUAAGAUUAAUAUUUUUAAAAAAUAUGUUUUUGACACAUUAAUAUUAAAAAUUAAUAUAUAUAUAUAUUAUUUUAAAAUAUUUUUAAUUAAAAAUAUAUUUAAACAUGUAAUUUCUUGAAGAGAGGUUAUGAGAUUCAAUGACAACACAAAAACUUUGCCAACAGGGCUCCCAUGUUUCCUGAGAUUAUGUUUGUCAAUGUUGGAAUAUAAUUGUUUUUAUUUGUUUUUGUGUUUCAGAAAUAUUUUUUAUAUAAAAAAAAUUAAUUAAUAUUUUUUUAGUAUUUUUAUAUUAUUUUGAUACGCUGAUAUCAAAAAUAAUUUUUAAAAAAUAAAAAAAUAUAUAUAUUAUUUUGAUACAAUUUCGAGUGAAAAGCAUUUAAAAAGCAAUUGCAACCCACUCCCAAAAAAAUGGACCCAACAACAGUUUAUUUUUAUGUUUUAAAAGUAUUUUAAAAAAAAAUUAAUUUUUUUUCUUUACUUCAAAUUAAUUUUUUUAGUAUUUUUAAAUCAUUUAAUAUAUCAAUAUCAAAAAUAACUUUGAAAAAUAAACACUAUCACACUAUUAAAUACCCUCUUGAUUUCUACCAUUCUUGUACAAUAAAGUCUCGCAACCAUACUCGGGAUGAUAAUGAUAUAUUUAUUUUUUCCUAGAUGAUAAGAAGGAAUAAUUAAUAAUUAUCAUCAUCUAGGUAAGAUGAGGAUGAAGAGAUUGAAAUGUGUGGACAACGAAAGAUAUCAUCUCCAUACUCUCAAAGAAUUGCUUGGAUAAAUAAUAUUCCUUGACCAUUGAACCAAGUCUUUCAAGACACAACUUUUAUGAUUAAUUUUCUUUUUUAUUUGAGGGUUUGGAGGGUAAGAGGAAUUUUGGAAUCCGUUUGUGUAUAAACGAUACAUUUUUUAGCAUGCUUUAUGAUUAAUGUAGUGGAUUUAUAAGAUAAAUUCUUUCAAAAAGUUAAAAAAAAAAUAGAACAAUAGAUUUUUUUCUUAGAGUUAAGUUUAAAUUAUUUCUAAAUCAUACAAGAUUUUUAUUCAUAGCCUCUAUAGUCUCUAUAUAUAUAUAUGUAUAUAUAUAGGCUCAUACAAUUGGACCAUGGGUUAAUUUAAGAUUAAUUUUGAAGUAACAAGACUCCAUCAGCUCUUCUUGCAUGAUUAAUUUGGACCAUGGGUGUAAGGCCUGGUUGGACCUUAGCUUAAGAGCUGGAUCCAAUUCAAUAUUCUUAGUAACUAUGAAACAAUUUAAGCCCUAUGACGUUGCCUCCUCCUGGGGGAGAAAAAAAAUGUAAUAAAAAAAAAAAAAGCUUGAAUCAAUUUAAUACAUGACUUGUCGAAGGUUAUAAAACUCAAGAGUAAAAAAUAAAAAGAUAAUGCGGCUUGCUUGUACACACAUUUUGAAACCUUGUUUUUAAUGGAGGGUUUACUCGCGGUCUGAACGGAAUCGAUUUUUUUCACAAUCAAAUUAGUGGGUCAAUUCUUGAUCCAGGUGACUUGGUCAAAACGAUAUUGUUAUGAAUAAGAAUUAAAAAACAAAAAUAAUUAAAUCGGGUCAACUUAUUGACUCAUGAAUUGACUCAUUACCGCAAGCUUGGAUCAUUGAAUCGGACCGUGAGCCAGGUUUGUGAACAAAGUAGGUGCACCAUUUUGGUGGGCAGGUAAUGAUAAAAAUAAAAGACUGAAACAAUGGUCAAGAUUGUGGUGUAGGUAGGGGAUGGUUUCGUGCAUGGAUUGGGCUUCUAAUUAAUAAGUGCUUGACUUCAAAUUAGCAUUGACUCGAAAAGUAUAAAAGGAAGACUUUUACAUGUACCUUGAAUAGGCCUUUUCUUUUUUAAUUUUGAUUUUGAUUAUAUUUUAAGGUUCUUAUCUUAUCCUUGCCAGUUAGGCCCACCAUAUUUUGACUACAGAUAUUCAAAUUUGGUGAACAUUUUAUGGGAAAACAAAAAAUAAUAAUAUUAGUAAUAAGAGACCAAACCAAAUAAUAAUAUUUAGCAAAAAUAUAAAUUAUGAAGAGUUUGAACAUGUAUAAAAAGAAUUUAAAGGGGAAGGUAAAUUAAUUGUGUAUAUAGACUCAGUUUAUUAUUUAUUGCUGUAAUAUAAAUAUCAUUUUGUCCUUCUCCAAAAUAUUUAAAAAAAACAAAAAAAAAGUUGGCUCAAUUUACUAUUCAUUGCUACAGUGUAAAUAUUGUUUGUCCCUUCUCAAAAUAUUAAAAGAUAGAUAAAGGGGAAGGCAAAUUUAUUAUAGACUCGGUUUACUUAGUAUAAAUAUUGUUUUGCCUUUCUUAGGAAAAUCCAAUGGCCUUGGUGUUAAGUUUAUAUAUAUAUAUAUAUAUAAAGGAAUUUACUUAUGUUAUUUAGGGGCUCUUUCAAGCGUUCUUUGUAUUAAAAAUUUUAAUGCUUGUAUUUAAGGGUGUUUUUGUCUUUUCACUCUAGUUUUUUUAUUUUCAAGUUGAUCAAGGGUAAUUUAGUCAUUUAAUAAACAUAAAAUAUUAUUAAAACAUAAAAAGAUGUUAAGGUGUGCACCGCACGUGCUAACAUGUAGAAAGCAUCUGCAGCCUUAUAGCAGCACAUGCAGUGCUUCCCGAUAUUUAAAAAAUAUCCAUGUUGUAUUGAUGGAAUUGCCAUGGCAUCUUCUUCCUGGUGGGGCGAAGUGUGGAAACGAUGGUAGGGUGAAGCGAGGCAACAAUGAAGUUUUCUUUUCAUUUGCUCUCUCCUCCCUUGAAAAACAUGUUGGGUAUUCAACAUUUCAAAGUUGUCUUUUUAGUUAUUGAUAUUUUAAAUUUUGUCUUUAUUAUUUUGAUUUUUAAUUUUUGCUCUUAACCAUUUUGUAAAUGUUUUGUUUAUUUUCAAUUUCUUUCUUCAAUUUAAAUUUGUGGUGUAUUGUUUUUCUUAAAUUUGGUCCUAUUCUUUUUAUUUAUGAUUUUUUAAAAAAAGUUUUAUAUAAUUUUUAUUUGUUUUUUAUUUCAUCCUUUAAUCCAAAUUUAUAGUAAUUUUUUUCAAUGUAGUUCUCAAAAAUCAAUUUUGUUCAAUGUAGUUCUUCAAUUGUUUGUUUCACGUAAAAAAUCUAAAUUGAUGUUUUUCUCUCUCUCUUUUACCUAGUUUCAUUAUUUCAUAUUUAAUUAGCUAAAAUUCGAACUGAAUUAUUUUUCUUUUUUUGAAAAAAAAUCAAAUUAUCUAGAUCAUUUUUUUAAAGUUUAGUUUCGUUUGUUAUCAUUGCCAAUUUUUUUUUAUUUAAUUAAAAUAAAACUUAUUUAUUUAGCAUCGUCUAGUCUAUGCUUCAAAUCAUAAAUUUUCUAAAAACAAAAGUGUCUGCGGCUCUUAGCAUAGUACUAUCGCAAACACUAACUAAUAUUUUAAUUAUAUAUCUUAAAAUUUGGAACAUAUAUAGGUGAAAUGUUUUUCUCGUUUUCUCUUUUUCCUUUUUAAAUUCUACAUUCGAAUUUCUUUUUCACACCUUCCAGCCCGCCUUGGCUUGUCCCUUUUAUAAUGGUUGUCGCCUCCAACCUCACGCAAAUAUUCUUGUGUGACUCAUGAAUGAGAAGAGCACCGUCGACAACUUCAUUUUCCAGCUUUUAUUGUAUAUGUAAAAUGCAUAAAAUAUGUUCAGUUUGUGAAUGUGGAAAAAGCUUUUCCUCUUGGAAAAUCAAAACGUGUUCACAUACAAGUUAUACUCUAUUAAAACAUUGGAAAAAUUAAUGCUGCUUUACUGUUCACAAGUUUUUUUUUUUCAAACUUUUCGCUCUUUUAUUUUCCUUUUCAACUAUACAUGUUAUUCGACACUUUAUUGAUUUUUAAUUAUUUAUUAUAAUUUAUUUUUGUUUGUUUUUUAUAAGAUUAUUUCAAUUUCAAACAAACAUUUCAAUAUUAAUUAGUUGGUACUCAAUUUUUAUAAAUAUUUAUUUUUAUUAUCAUAUUAUUCAAUAAAAAUUAAAAAAAAAUUGAAACAAUGUAGUUUGCAAGUUCAUAUAAGUUUUAACCAAAUUAGCCGAGUCACGGAUUAAUUCACCAAGCUAAACUAAAUCAAUUUUAAGUUAAUGUUUUUUAACACUUGAGCUAGAUUAAAAGUCAGGUUAAUUAUGUUUUAAGUCAAUCACCGAGCCAAUCUUGGUUUAGUGACGGUUGUUUCAAUUGCUACCUUACUUUCAUUUGCUCAUCACUAUUUGUCUUGUUGAAAAUAUAUUGUUUUUUAGUAAAAUUUCUUCCUCCUCCUCACGUGUGGUUUCCUCAGUCGAAUUUGAUGGAAUAGUCUAGCUAAUGAAAAUUAUAUUCUUCAUUGGACCAGAUUAUUAUCAAGCAGUCUCGUUUGUCCAAAGAUUCUGUUUGCAUUAGCAGAAUUCAGACAUCAUUGAAACAGGCUGUCUUAGCCGUCAUGUAAAGAAAUUAAUCAAAGAUUUGUUGGUUUAGAGAUCUUGAGUUUCCUGGUUUUGAAAAUGAACCACAUUUAUUAGAAUAUUCUCUCUCAAAUGCGCCUACCAUGUGGAAAAAUCAAUUUAAUUCUAUUUUAACUUGGACCGUAUUUUUUUUAGAUUAUGCUUGAUCAUUGAUGUUUCAAAACAUAGAUACUAAACAUUUUUAAUUGAAAAAUUCAACACAAAAAUAUAAAAUAAAUAUAUUUUUUAAACAAUUUUAAAAUGAAUUUUUAUACUCAAAAAAACAUUUACACUCUAUCUUCGUGUAUUUUAUUAGGAAAUAGAAAUCAAACACUACCUACUUGUAAAGUUUGCAUGUCUUAACCUUCAACUUUACUCAAUUUUAUGUGUUCACAUUUUUCUAUUUCAGUUUGUUUUGUUGAUUCGAAGGGAAACCAGUACUAACUUUUAGUUAAUUCAAGCCUUUUUGGUGGAAAAUCUUAUCUAGGUCACUCCAUAGUCAAUUGAUUAGUCCUUUGUUGGCUCAGAAUAUGAUUAUAUUUGCUAUUAAUUAAGAAGUGGCAUAGCAUCGAGUUUAAUUUGCUUUUAUAUCUCAUCUUUCUAAAGGAUUUCAAGUUCAAUUUUUUUAUUGAAAAAAUGAAAUGGAAUCAGAAUAUUCACAUUUAAAUAAUGGAGAUUGAACAUUGAAAAAAAUCAAUGCUUAAAUUAGACAAAUUAAGAGGGUAACUACAUCAUAUGAAGCCCAAAUUUUCGAAGAUUUUCUAAUUGACUAAAGUACAAAGGUAUGAAGAAUAUUUUGUAGAGUGUGUGUGUGAAAGGUAUCUAUAUGUUGAUUAAUUCUUGCUAAAAAGAUGUCCCAUUUUAAAUUGUAACUUAUGACCUUUUAAAUGGAGUUAGUUCAUAAAAACCAUGACCCAUCAGUGUCUGUGUUUUGACAAAGAUAAAUGGAAAAUUAAGUUAAUGUGAAGGGGAUUAAGUUGUUUUUCUUUGUUUGAAUACUAAAAUUAUGAAUACUAAAAAAGGGAAAAGAGGAAAAAAUAAAUCUUUGAAUUUUAUUUUCCACACACAUUUUUUUUUCUUUUAAAUUGGAUUGAAAGAGAAGGAAUUGAAAAAAUUAACAUAAUUCUUCUUAUUGUAUCCUCUAAAAAUUCUUUUCUUUUCUCUUGAACCAAAAAAAAGAGAGAGAAAUCCCUUCUUUCUCUCCGUUUAAUUUCUCUUUUAUUCUUUAGUAUUUUUAUAUAUUUUUUAAUUACCAUACAUACCGGUAAUGCUUCUAGGCACCACUUUUCUCACCAUGUAGAUUAGAAAGGAAAGAAAAACAAAUGAUUAAAGUAAAAAAAGAAGAAAAUAGAGAACCAUAGUCCUUCGAAAACAGGGAAGGAGACUCGAGUCUUUGGCACUUAGUAGUGACCUUUUACACGUUUUUGGACCCAAGAAAAAAAGAAAAUAGGAGAACCAAAGUAAAGUAACCAUAGUCUAGACUUACCCAAACAAGCUUAUGUCAUUGAUCUUACGUUUGAUUUUCUCACUCUAGUCCAAGGAUUCAUUUGAUAAAUACAAGCUCAUGUAUCUAGCUAGCUAAUUUUUUCCAACACGUGGAUUGAUUUCAACAAAUUCGCCCUUCGCUAGUCAGCACAAUUUAAGACCAAAUUAUCAAUCUUUUUCUAUAAUUUAAUUUCUUAAGACACAGCAGCCACCUACUUAUGGUCAUCCUUGCAGGCUGUGUGAACGAAACGUCGUCCAAACAAAAAAUUCUAACCUCUAUGCACGAGAGGUCAACAUUCACUUAUAAAUAAGGGCCUAUACGUCUCCUAUUUGCCUUUUCUAAUAACACUCCUGGCAACAUUUUCAUCCAUACUGUAUAGUAUUGAAGCUAUCUUGAUAUUCUUAAGCUCACAAACCAUGGAUGUCUUUCCCUCUUGCAAAGAAAAGGUAUGUUUUCUUCUAGUUGUGUGUGUGUGUGUGUGUGUGUGAAUACUACUACUAGUUCUUGGAGAAGAGUAUAGAGGGGGGGGGGGGCAAAGAAAAACGUUGAGCAUAUAUGAAAUAAGGAGCAGGAAAUAGAUAAAAGUUCGUACAUAAUGAUUUAGGGUUUCUUGCUGAAAAAUGAAGUUGAUGUUUCUCAAGCAGUAGAUGUUAUCUUACUCAGGUGGAAGCUCUUCAAUUCGAGUUGGAACACAGGCAGAAAGAGAAUGAAAAACUUAGAUUUAUGCUUGAAGUUAUGACCAGAAGAUUCAGCAUUCUUCAAGCAGAGAUUCAAGAAACCAAAGAACAUCAGCAAAAGGCAGCAAGCAACUUAACGGAGGGAGAUCAAGCUUGUCAUGAAAUCCAUGACUCGAACAAGAGAGCAAGAUUUGAAGUUCCCAUAACCAAGGCGUCGAGAAUCUUGGUGAGAAGUCACUCCAAUGACAAGAGCCUGGUAAGUUCCUCUAGUCAUCAGUUAUAUAUAUACAUAAUUUGUACAUGAAGUUUUUGAGUUGAAGAUUCCAAGAUCUUACAUAUGAUAAUAGAAAGCUCUUUCACAAAUGUGAAUUUAGAUUGUGAAAGAUGGAUAUCAAUGGAGAAAGUAUGGCCAGAAGGUUACUAAGGACAACCCAUCACCUCGAGCUUACUUCAGGUGUUCCAUGGCUCCUAAUUGCCCCGUCAAGAAGAAGGUACGUCUGCUCGAGUUAAUUUUCUUCUGAAAACCAGUCAAAAAAAACAUCUGUAAAUAGUAUCCUGAAGUUUAUGUCGAGAGAGAGCUUUCAAAGGGCACCUUCAAGGUUCAUGUGUGCAAUCAAGAACAGUACUGAGCAUGUGAUAACACCAGUCUUCUUUGAUUUAUCCUUGGUUUUCAGGUCCAGAGAUGUGUAGACGAUGAUUCAGUACUUGUUGCAACUUACGAUGGAGAACACAACCACGAACCCAAUGGCUCCCAUGGACAAUAUUUAUGUUCUCCAAAUAGCUCAUCAUCAAACAUUUCCAUAACUAAUCAUGUCCUCAAGUGUCCAAUCGAAAUUCCUCCUCUUCAACCAUCUAUAGCUCUUGAUCUUACUCUUUCAAGACCCAGUAUUAAUCAACAGGAGGAAAAACCUUCUAAAAGAUCCAUGGAAGACUGCGGCAAGAUUAAUAAUAACCACAGCAAGAACAACAUUGAAGAAUAUGUGGCAUCUUUAACUAAAGAUCCUAACUUCUCUGUAGCUUUAGCUGCGGCUGUUGCAAGUUCAAUGAGUGACCUGUCUGCGUCAAGAAUGCUGUGAAAUAAUUAUUGUCUUAUUUAUGAAAAGUUUAUGCUCUUUCUCUCCUGGCUACGUUUGUAUUUGCUUGUGUUCUUACGCUCCCCAUAUGUAUAAAAACAAAAAAUGAAUAAAAUAAAAAAAUUCAAAAAGUUAUAAAAAAAUUAUUUAUUAUUAUUAUUAAAUUUAAUUUAGUAUAUUAAUUUUAAAAUCUUUUCAUUUACCACAGGAGGGAAUUGCCUAGUUAAUUUGGUUGGUAUAAAAACAACUUCAACGUGAUCAAAAAAAAUAAAAAUAAAAAUAAAACGAAAAAUAAUGAAAUUGACUGGAAAAUAAUUAUGGCUCAACUCUUUAUCUAAUUCGUGUUUAAAAUUAAAAUAUAAAUAUAAUUCAUAUAACUUGAUCACUCAGUUAAUUAAAAAAAAAAUUAAAUAAUAUUGAUGGGAAAAAAAGGUAAUUUAUUUACUCAACCAUUUACUUAAUAAAUAUUUAAAAUUAAACUAUAUAAAAUUUAUUUCAUUAGAGUAUUUAUUUUUCUAAACAUAACUAGAAUAAUUAUUUAAAAAAAAACAUGUUUCAAUGUUUAUAUUUAUGUUUGGGAAUGUUGUUAGCUGUAAUUUCUUAAAAUUUUUAAAUUUUUUAAAAAUUUUAUUUUUUAUAUUUUUAUAUAGUUUUUAUUUUUUAUAUUAAAAAUAUAUUUUAAAAAAUAAAACAUAUUUUUUAAUAAAAUAUAUUUUGAUAACAACAACAAAUACGCAAUAAAUCAAGUCGUCAUCGGUGAAACUCCACUAUCUUUCAGCAGAGUUCUAAAGGAACUGGUGAAAGACAAGCAACAAUCAUCAAAGGCCACAAAAAUUCUGACAUAACAUCAGAGUCAAAAUCUAAUCCCCAUAAAAAUUUGACAGCCUCGUAUAAAAAAUUAAUUUAAAUCAUCUGAGAAAUUUCACCAUCAUAUUCAAUUAUUUAAAUGAGAAUUUGUGGCUGGAUUCUUUUUCCCAUUCAGCUAUAAUAAAUAUUGCGAUAGUUUUAUAUUCAUAUGAUAUCAAACCCAAUUCUACAUAUUAAACAUCUUUAAAAAUGUAAUUAUGAUUAAUUUUUAAAGUAUUUUUUAUUUAAAAAUAUAUUAAAAUAAUAUUUUUUUUUAUUUUUUAAAAAUUAUUUUUAACAUCAACUCAUCAAAAUAAUAUAAAAAUACUAAAAAAUAUUAAUUUGAAAUAGAAAAAAAUAAAAAAAAUUGAUUUUUUUUUAAAUACUUUCAAAACACAAAACAAAUAGCGCCUAAGAUAUUAUAUAAUCCACAUAACUCUAAAUUUAAAUCCUUGUUAUAUAAAGACUUUAUGUUAAAUAAUAAAAAUAUUUUAUGGAUUAAAAUAUAUUCUCUAUAAAUAUGUGCUUAGAUUAUUAUUAUUUUUUUAAAGAUGAUCCUGCAUAUAUGCGCUCUUGUGCUAAGAAAUAACUAACAAUAGAAAUUUAUGAAGACUUAGGAUUUAAGCUUAAAAAUUCUUUAAAACUUGUAAUGGUUUCAACUUCAAUAAAAUCUUCAUAGUCGAACCAUGUAGCAAAUUUCGUCAGCAAAAAGUCUUCAGCUUUAAGUCCAAAUCUGCAGACCGCGACGCUCUCAUGAUCAUGUUUUCCCGACGAAUAUUUUGCAGCAGGAGAUUCUUUAUUUUAUAGUGUAUUAGUGGGUUUUUUUUCCAAAGAGACAUGAGUGUUCUUGAUUCAGGGGCUCGACUCUCUCUACAUACAUGAUCAUUGAAAUGUUUUUUUAGUAUAGGAGAUCAAGUGAUAAUGUAUUAAAAAAAUAUAUAAAAUAUCAAGCAAAACAAGAAUAUUUCUAGCUCUUAUAUCUCAGAGACAACACAAGGAGCUUCAAGGGAUCUUUUUAUCCAGGUACUGCUGGUAGUCUGCUGCCCAGUUCUUGUAAAGACAUGGCCAUGGCUCUGUUCUUGGGGAUUUUCUCAAGGCAACAAAGAUGGCACACCAAUAUUUGAUCCUGCCUUUAUACAUUUGUCUCUAGAAAUUUAUUUAUUUAUUUUGCUAUUAGUAACUCUAUGCCUGGUUGUUGACAAUGGCUUCAGACAAUUAUCCCAUCCAAUUGGAAACUACAUUGUCUUCUUCAUUUCUUUGAGAAAUGAGGCUCUUAAUGAAUCGUGGUAUUCAACAAUGACUACUUAUAGACAUUUACAUCACUAUACAUCAGAAUGUACAUGACAAACAACACUCCUACCAUCUAGCUACCGAUAUGAAUUAUGGAAAACCGAACUAUAACCGAUCUUGACAACAAGAUUCUAGUGUCUUGCACUUUGUCUUCAAAGAUUGCCAACAUCUGUGCUCCAAAAGCAAAGAAACUUUGUAAACAAUGGUGCAGAUGAAGUAUAAGGAUAACACUGAAACAGCAACGGAAGUGAAGAACCCCGAAACACACAAGCAUGUAAGAAAGGGUUGCCACAAAAAACUGAGUAUCCGUCCCUGCCAUGUACACCUGCAUUUUAAGUGCUUAAUACUUGCUGCAAUGUAUAACACUUCUCUGGAUUUGAAUUCUAGUUUUGCCCUUUUAGUGAGUGCCUCAGCUUUGCUUGUAACGGGCCUUCAACCACGGUGGGCAAUGGUGUUGUCUGCAAGAGAACAGGUCCUGAUUGGAUUGGCAGAAUAUGGUGUACACGCACUUGAUCAUUUGAAGAUCCCACUUUUGAUAGGUGUCUGUACCAAGUUUUCAGACAGCUUUCUCGGAGAAGCCAUCAUGGACUUCUCAUUUUGAGCAUCCUUUUCUGCUUUUUUCUUUUCCAAUUCAAGUUGUUUUUUGUUUUCAUCAUGUGCUCGGACGAACAUCCUCACAAAAUUGAGCAGAGUGGACACAACUAUAGAACGAAGAUAGAAAGUGAGAGGUCCCCAAGUAUACAAAUGACAUUCAAGAGCCAAUGAUAAUAUUUAAGCAUCGUGUAAAUAUCAUAACCAUACACGCAGAAAACAUGGAUAUGCACAUGUAUACAUAUGCAAAAACUGUAUAGUGAAGAGUGUGUUAAUUUAGUAAUUAUUGAAUACAGCAUUACUAAUGAUGGGCUGAAAAUUAAAAUAUUGCAGCCUAAUUGACACCAUUCAGAUUCCUAGAAUAAGAGAGAGCUGCAGAAAUUGGAAUCUAUGUGGGAUAUCCAUUUUAACAAAGUUAGUAUAUACUGGAAAAUACCUUGCUCAAAUGGGCAACGUGCCGGAUCUUCCCCAAAAUAAAAAGCCAGUGCAUCUGCAUUUCUACCCUAAAACAUUCAAAUUCGGAAAACAAAAAUCACUGGCAGUGAGUGUUCAAGUUGAAGCACAGCAUUUUUGUUCAAAGUCAGCUUGUCAAAACAAAAGUUCAUAUACAUACCACGGAGGAAUAAAGGGAAGCCAAAGACCUCACUUCACUUUCAGCAAAAGCAAGAAAAACCUUGAGAUUCUGAACAUUUCCAAGGGACAAGAUAAAAAAGAUAUUAAUGAGUACAAUCUGCCAAGGUAAAGGAUAUUCAGUGUGCAUGUGUGCCUGCAUGCAUGCCAAUGGUGAGUAAUUCCAUUUACUGCAGGCAAUUCCGGCAACAAAUCCUAAGAAACCUUUAUCCACAGUGAAGAGAGUAGCUGAAAAGGACUUGCCUUGCAAAAACUUUCUGAGACCAAACCAUCAUUCUCUGAAGCAGUCAAUUCCUGCAUAACUUUUUCAAGUCCUUUACUAACAGCUUGCAUUUCCUCUGCCAAAUAUUUCAAUUGUAUCUGCAAAAAAUACAACAUGUAGCUUAGCAAGCAAACAAUGUAAUAGAAACUGAAAUUGCCAACAAAAAACACAUACACAAAAAGGAGGAGGAGGAGGAUUACUUUUGUUGCAGCCUCCAAAUUCACAAGAUCCUUAGAAAAAUCUAGCAGUUCUGGAAGCUUUUCAGCCAGUACCUAAAAUUCAUAUAAAAAGAUUCAACACCAAACCCAAAUAAAUAUUUUUGUCCGGAGUCUUAUUUUCCAUUUAUUUGGUAUCCUCUAAUGUUCAAUGAGCACAAAAUAUAGGAAAGUUCUGCAAAAAUGUUAACAAUUGCAAAUAUAUUUCUCAACCAAAAAGAAGAGGAAAGGAAAAACAGAUUCACACUCUCUGAGGAUUAGAUUUCAAGAU